CAUUUACAAAUUUAUAUUAUUAAAAAAUAAUAAUAUUAAAAAAUAUUAAAUCUUUUAUAUAAGUAGUACAAUAUUUAUAAUGACAAUUACCUCGAGAAUCCGUCACUUAAUCAAAAUUUUACCGACUUUCUAGCCAUUUAAAAUGUGAGAAAGAGAGCGGUUUUGUUUAUUAACUAUCAGCGAGCAACUUUUCUAGGGCUACGAGAAUGGCUGGCAAGCACCUCCUCCUUGCCUUCUUUGUGCAGAAGGCCAGAAACUGACGGUUGGGUCAGAGAAAAUGCCAAAAGUACGAGCCGGACCGCACCGUACGGGUGAUGACAAAACGCACCUACUUUCGAACAAACGUGUUCACGCUUUCAGUCUCUUAGCCGUACUCACUUGCACUUGCUGCAAGCCUGCAACAAGACACUUGUCUUUCGGUGGGGAAAGUAUGAUGCCGAGACCCAGUGAUUUAAAUAUUAGGGAUGACUUAAAACAUUGCUAGCUGUUCCCAGCAUACUAGCUAAGAUUUAAAUAAGAGAAAACAAAAAGAAACUAGCGACGUCUGAUCAUACUAAAUCAUAAACUGAUCUUAUGAUUAAAAUAAAAGGGCAUUAAUGCUUAAAAAGUCUGACCUCUUAAACUAAGGGUCGGGUCAUGGUCCUGAGCCGAUCAAUAUUUUUUUUUUUUUACUAUUUUAUUUUUUUAGUUUUGCUUUUAGAAUAGAAUUCUUAUUCUUCAUUCUUUAUUCAUAAUAUUGUAAUAUAUUUAUUCAACUUUUAUGUUGAGUUUAUUUGAAAGGAAUAUAAUAAAUUAUUUUUUACUUAAAUUUAACGAUAAUACAACAUAUAACGAUCUAACCAAAUGAACAGAUUAACCAAACUAAGAAUAAAUAAAUAAUUUGAAUACAAAAUAACUAAACUAAUCUAAAAUAGAGGCAAGUAUAUUUAAGGUGCAUUUUGUGACCGCCUGUUUGGGGUGUGUUUGUGUUUUAAUAACUUUUAAAUGUUGUAUUUUUUAUUUUAAAAAUUGAGUUAGGGAUUAAUCGUAUCUAAAUUUUUUUUAUAAGACCCCAACUCUAAUCGGAAUAUAAUCAAACUCUAAUUCCUCAAAUAAUGACCGACCUUUAACCUUUUAAAUUAAAGCUAAAACUUUAAAAAUUAAAAGUAGGUCUAUCAAAUUAAAAGCUUGAUCGAACCUUUUUGUCGUCCCUUAUUAUAAAUCUAAGGCCGAGUGGUUAGAACUCUUCCCUCACAAUUGUGAAUGAAUGAGUUUGAGCCUCCAUAACACAUUGUGAGAAUUUAAUUUUCUUUCUCAAUUUAAGUGAAAAUAAUAUUUUUCUUUUAAAACGUGAGUGGAAUAAAUGUUUUUUAUAUGUUAAAGAAAGUAAAAACUUAGACAGUGUUAUAUAAAAUUUAUAAAUUUUAAAAUAAUUUCAUGAAAUAUGAAUUAUAUCUUGAGUAAUAGUCUCGUAUAAUUAAAAUUUUUUUUAAAAAAAGUACAAAUCUCGUCAAUCAGCUCAAUUGGUUGCUUGUUUUUAACACAUUAGAGUCGCAUAUUCUUUAUUCUUUUUGUAAAAAAUAGUUUGAACAUUGUACCUAUUUCACUCUUUCCAGUGGCCCCAGCAUUAUCAUUUUACUAGUGGACUCCUUCUCAGUUCUCAUCAUCAAUUCCUCAGUCCCUUUCCGAAAUUUUUAUUAUGAGAAAAAUUGUGACCACAUAAGAAAAAGCAUUGAGCCUGUCUUUGCCAUCCAAUCCAACAACCCACUUGCCUUGUCCAUGCUGCCUUGCUUUCAUCUAAGCACUUUGUUUUUUUUCUCUUCUUUUUUUUUUUUUUUAAAAAAAAAGAAAUCUAUGCUCACUUUUGUUGUGCCAAAAAAUAAAAACCAAUCGAUUAAGAUUCUCUUAUAUAAAGAUAAAGAUUUUCUUAAUAUAUAGUUCUACUUUAGCUAUGCCCAAAUAAUUAAAAAUUUUCAAUACAUUGUGAAAUGCCACUUUUAUUCCGUAAAGUUCUUAUAUAUAUGAUUAGUGUUUUGGUCUAUCAUCAUAAAGUACGGGAGAUGUCGGGAAAAAAUUUUAAAACUGCAGGGUUUUAAAAGUUUAAAACUUAAAGCGUUUAAAUCACACGGUUUAUUGUGUUUUCCCGGACAUUCCCGCACUUUAAAAUUCUAGACUUGAAUAUAUAUAUAUAUAUAUAUAUCAUUUCAAUAGAAUAUAAAGUUAUUUAGAUAAAUGACAAAAUCUACUUUGAAUUUGAACUUUAUCAUUCUAAACAUAAUAAUUUCAUUUCUUAAAAUGAAAAAUUGCUAGUCUUAUAAUAUAAUACGUCUAUGCUUGUGCCUAUCCAAUGAAAGUUGUUGGGCAUAUUUGGCAAAACAAGAUAUGAUGUGGAGUUGUGGACCUUCGGCCCAAUAAAUAACUACAAGAACAGUAUUUCUGAAAGGUCAAUGGUGCAUACAUUUUUGCAACUUUAUCACUUUACGUAAUGUAUUUCAAAGUAUUAAGAAAUUUAAAAAUUUAGAAACCACUCUUUGAUUGGGCGGUUCUAGUUUCGUUCUUAAAGUUAAGAGUUUGAGUCUUCUUAUGAAGAAUGUGGAAGUUAAUUUUUUUUUAAAAUAAUAAUUGAAAAUAGAUUGAAUUCGCUUCGAAUCUAAAAAUCCCAUACAUAAAUUUCUUGUUAUAUAUAUCAGUAAAAAUAAUUUAAAGUAUUAAGAAAAUUUUCAAACUAAGGUAAUGGAAAAAAAAAAAAAAUUGAAACAUUUUUAUUUAGAUUACCACAACAUCAUUCCUCAAAGACCAGUCAAAUUUGGGCUUUAAACUGAAACGUUUGAACGGUAAGGGGCUUGGAGUCCAUAGUUCAAGCUCGGCCUAAUAUGAACAUACGAUCUUUUUUUCUUUUUAUAGCGGCAUCUGUCAACAAAUCCAAAUUCGUCAAAGGCGUAUCCCAAGUGCUGCUUUUAAAACCAAUUUCUGCUUCUCAAAGAAGAUCUUCUGGUGCAAGAAUGACUAAAAAGGCAACUUAAUCUCCAAGAUUCAAUAACGACUGCCGUGAAGGUGCACUCUGAACACGAUAGUUUGAACAUAAAAAAAAAAAUAAAAAAAAAAAUUGAUGAAAGAUAAUAUGCGACAGAAGUAGAGAGCAACUAAUCAGAAUAGUUGAAUUAUUCUCUUCUAUUCUUGUUUUGUAGUAAAUCAUACAUUAAAAAUUUUGUACGUCUCCCUUAUAUAGAGAAAUCUUCUAUAUGAUUUUCCCUAAUUCAAUUUGAAUUAAUCACCUGUUUUUCUUAUUUAAUUUGAUUCCACUGUGUCUCAUAAUUUCUUAUUUGACUCCUAUAAAUUUCGUGUUCGAAAUUGUGAUUAAUUUAUUCGUAAAAAAAAUCGAUUUAUUACAUUUAGGUGUUGUAUUGGAUAUGAAUCAUUUCGGAUCAAUUUGGAUUUGAUUGACUGCCUCCACUAUGGUGGUGUUGCUGGGUCCUAUUAACGUGUAAUUAUUGGUAAAAAGGGGAUAGAAAAACAUUGCACGUACAUUAUCACGAAUAGGCACACGAGUCAAAUUCACACUCAGAUCUUUAGAUGUGAGCUCAAGUAUGAGCAGAAUCUAACAUCUUUUUAUCAAAUUCACAUGAUUAUGCUCAUAAAGUUGCUCUCUAUUAAUGUGAAAAUCCACAAAGGCACAUCUUGCACUGUUGUAUUUACCUCUUUAAUAAUAAUUAAAGAAAAAAAAAAGCGUCGCUUUCAAUGAACUUCCUUCACAAAUCCCUCAACCAAGCUGAUUUAAUUUUAAUUUUAAUUAUUUAAUAGCACUGCGGGGGUGUCUUUCCACUUUCAUCGAAAUUGAUUUACAUGCAAUUACUACUAUGAAUGAACCCUCAAAUCAAGUGGAGGAAAAUGGAUUUUAUUUUUUUUCUCAAUAAAAAAAUGGCUUUAUUUGUAGGUGGGGUGACAUAAGAAUCCAAUUACAAAGAGCUUGCUUGUUGCCGUGAAGUCUGGGCACAGCAAUUUCUUCUUCAUUUCAGUCAACAACUACCACAAGCAACUCUCCCUUUUGCAUACAUCAAUAAUUGCAUUAUUUGGAUUAAUCAAUCACGCAUCUUCGGUUAAAAUUUCUCCCAAUAGAUUUCAUAAUUUUAAUAGAUGUAUAGAUCAUACCAUAAUAAUUAUCUUUUGAUACAUAACGCUACCGAGACCAAUUCACGACACAUGGUUAAUUAACAUUAAGCGUUAUAAUUUAUAAAUAUGAUUUGUGUUUUUUUUUUUAUAUAUAAAUAUGGAGAUCUUGAUUAUGUUACUCGAAAGAAAUAACUUGUAAACAUGUGAUUAGUGUUUCUUAAAGAUUAAAAAAAGAAAAAUUUACAACCGUCCACCUGUUUGUUUUGUCUUUUUCAAAAAUACACAAACACUUUUUUUUUUCAGCGCGCCACCUGAAGUUCACUUUUUGUUGCAUUCUUCCACUUCCGUCUAAUUUCCAUUAGCAAAUUUAACGAAAUGACUUUUUUACCCCUCAAAAUUACAAUUUAACCUAAAAUAAAUAGAAAUUGGAGAUAAAUUGGAUGUAUUUAAAUUUUUUCAAAGGUGGAUGCUAGAAAUUAGAGGAAAAUAGUGUUUGUUGCUUGCUAAAUUUAGAAAAUUUGUAUUUAUUUUUUUGGAGGAAAAUAGUNNNNNNNNNNNNNNNNNNNNNNNNNNNNNNNNNNNNNNNNNNNNNNNNNNNNNNNNNNNNNNNNNNNNNNNNNNNNNNNNNNNNNNNNNNNNNNNNNNNNGAAUUUUUGAACUAAUUUAAAACCCCAAUUACCUGCUUAUAACAAUUGAGAUGCCGCCCAAUUUUAUUCUUAUGGGGUUUGUUUGGUACCCUUCGUUACAUGGGGUAGCGAUGCAGUCCUAUGUUCGGGGCACCAAAUUGCAGCAACUUAGUGUAUUAAUUGAAGUCGGAUUUAGCUAAUACGAUAAUUAUUUAUCGUUUUUUUAAUUUUUUUAAUAAUAAUAAAUAAUUUAAAAUUUAUUAUUCAAUAAUAUUAUUUUAUAUUUUUAUUUUUAUUAUAUUAAAAAUAUAUCUAAAUAAUGUAUUAUUUAAUUAUAUUAUAAUAAUUAAUAUAUAAAAUUGAUUAAUCUUCAAUAAGUUAGUAUAACCAAUAAUCAAUACUUAAAUAAUAUAAUAUUACAUUAUUUAAUUAUAUUAAUUAAAUUACUUAUUUUUAAAUAAUUAAAUAUAACUAAUAAUAAAUAUUCAAAUUAAAAAAAUUAAUAAUAUAAAUAAUGACUGGAUUAUUUAGCACAAUUAAUUUUGUUAGUGAAAUGUUACGACGAUUCUAACACUUUAUUAUUUUGUAAUUAUCUUGUAAUAUGUAUAAACUUUUAUUAUGUCAUCCUAAAAUGAUUUUUGAACUAAUCUUGAAGAUUUUAACUAUUUAUUUAUGUUGUUAAAUUAUUUAAAAAUUAUUUGUUUCGAUAUUUAUUUCAUAGGUUAUAUAUUUAGAAAAUACUAAAAGAAAGGCUACAAGCUUCUAUCUUCAUGGAGAAUUAGGAUUUUUUUAACAUUCUUAUUAAAAAAUAUUAAAUUUGUAAAAUUUAAGACUUUUAUAUUCAGUAUUUUUUAAGUUAUAAUAAAGAUUAUUUUUAAAUAUAUAAUUUAAAUUAAUAAAAAAAUAAUAUAAUACGGUACAACACUAAAUAUAAUAUAAUUAAAAAUUAAUACAGUACAAUGUAUCACCAAAUAAUAUAUAACAUAAUCAUAAUACAAUAUUAAUACAACACAAUAUAAUAUAAUAUAUUAUGUCAAACGCACAAUAUAUAUAUAUAGAUACACACGCAUGCACACACGCACCUAUAGGGUCAACCAAGUCGAUCAAGGUCAAGGGUCUUUGGUCUUUUUAUUAUGCAUAAAUGUCUACAAACUUGAGAAAAUUUCAAAAGAGAAGAACAAGACCCAAGUUGGAAUGUUGAACUUUUGAAGAUCUCCAUUAAAGUGCUCACAACCAUUCAAUCUGUGGACUUUUUGUCCAAUAGCUUUAUGAAGCUUCUACGUUAAAAGACACUCUGGAUUUUCCAACUUCCACAAUGGGUUUGAUGGAAAAGUUUCAAUAACAUGUGAAAGCUUUUUGUUGAUAAUAUUGUUGGAUGGUAACAUCUGUCUAAAUAUAUACAACUAUAAGCUAGUUUGAGGUCUGUCAGAGUAUAAUGAAAAAAAUCUAUAUUAAUAAAAGUUAAAUGAUCGAUUCCUCUUAUAAUUAUUCACAAGAAAUGUCAUUAAAUUAAGAUGAAUAAACUCUUAUUUCGAUAGAAUUACAAUUUUUUCUUAAUCUAAACUCUCGUGAAUUUUACAAGAUAUUGUGUCACGCGUAUAAUUAUAAAAGUCUAUGAUAAAGAUCUGAUUACUUUUUACAUCCAUAUAUUUUAACCACCAAUCACCAAUUUAUAUUUUACCAAAGACUCUUGAAGAAAGUAAAAUCAAAUAAGAAUUCUAAUCAUCUUACCCAAAACAAAAGAAAAACUUUUCAGAAAAUAAAAUAUAGAUGAUUGAAACCCAUUUGAUAUAGAUCCCACCCUAAUACUGCUAUCCCAACCUGUAUCAGUCAGUUAAUUACGGCCAACAGAAUCGAAGCCUUAAUUUUCUAAUAAUGUACCAUUGGAAUAUUGACUAAUGAGGCCAACUGCCAUAUUAUUGCCAAAUGAUGAGGCGUUAUAAGCAAAUUUAAUGCAAUCAUACGGUAUGUUCCAUCUAUUAACUAUUAUCACUAUCAAUAAUUCUAGAUGUGUAUAAAAUUGUAAGCUAUUACGGAGCAUGACAUGACGCCAUGAUAAAUCUCGAAUACACCUCGUUUUCCCAAGUCAUCUUCUCAUUUGGGUAUGUUAUUUUGACAUUUGAAUGAACGUCAAAAUUGAAGCAAGACUUGGCAGAUUUAAAAAUACAAAGUAAUGUAUUAUAUCAUAAUGUACAGUGUUACAAAGCUAUUAACAAUGAAUAAUGCCUAACAAAAGAAUUAGGAAGUCACCCCGGUGAAUCCUGGGAGCUUCAUUACAAGCUCGAAAUAUGGUCAGAACUGAUAUCUGAUCCGACCGUCGAACUCUUGAUUCGGUAUGCAAAUGACUCGGCCAGUUCACUGGCGUGCCUAACGCUAAGGCGUGUUCCCUGUUGCCCAACAACUGUGGCUGCUAUUCUAGCUGCUAAUGCACCCAUUCCUUUUAGGUCUGAUACACCUCGUAAUAUACCGUACAAAAUACCAGAUGCGUAUGCAUCACCAGCACCACAAGUGUCCACAGGGACACAUGGAGAAGGAGGAAUAUAUACAGCUUCUCCUUUGACACCUAUGUAAGAGCCUCUUGCCCCAUCUGUGACUGAAACUAAGGGAACAAAGUGGCUUAAGUACCUUGUGGUUGACUCUGGGCUUUCCUUUGAAGAGAAGUGGCAAAAAGCUCUGGCUUCGUCACUGUUUGCAAACACGAUGUCGGCAUAGUUUCCAACAAUUUCCCUGAGUGAAAUCAGGACAAAAAAAAUAUUUAGCAUAUAUUAUAUCUGAUGAAUGAAACCAAAGGAACUUCAUACUAUUGAGAUCCUUCAUUUCCUUCAUAUUGAUAAACACAAGUCAUCAUCACAUUGAAUCAAUUUAACAUGCGCAUCAAAUACCUGGUAUAAAUGAAUUACACAAACAGGACUAUUCUGAAGGGAAUGAAAUUCAACCAUAUCAAUACUCUCAAAACGUAUAUUGACAUCUACCUUGACUGAAUCUUGUUCCACCUCAAUGCUAUUAAGCCAAAAAUAUAGAAUUGAGGAUGUAAAAGGAAGUCCGAGGGAUGAAGACACAAUGGCCAAAUGAAAUGGAAACUGAGUCGUUUCACAUUCCCUAUGCAUGUUUUUCUCUCUAAGACAUGCAGUUUUUACUUUUUCUCUCACCUUAUUCAGGGACGAGUCUCUAAGACAAGAAAACAUUAAGAUUCUGAAAAAGAAAGCCGCUCCAUUGUUCUUCUUUAUACACUUCUAUUACCUAAUGCUUGGACAAAUGUGACAUGAAGUUUCCUAGUAAAUCAGAAAAUCUACUUUGUUUGACGCAGCUGUUUUUGAUAGCUUAUUUAACUUCACGGAUUCUAUUAAAAACAAAAUUUACCUUGGGGAUAUAAAAAACUCACAUUGAAACAAUUUUAUGGAGGAUACAAAUUCAGUUAAACUCAAGUACAACAAUCAAAACCAUGUAAUAUUCAUACCAGAAGUCAUCAUAAUGUCUCUCAAUGCACGUCACAUCUGAUGCUGUUACUGCAACCAGAGCGCCACUUCUGUGAGCUACUUCACAAGCUUUUGUAAUUGUUCUAAUUGUAUCAGGAAGUUCAAACAAAUAGCCUUCAACAAUAAAUAUAUUUGUCUUGGAAAUAAGGUUAACCAAGCAGGGAUCAUAGUUGAUAGUCGAUGAUGUACCCUGACACAUUCAAAGAGCCAAAUAUAUUAAUAUCUGAUAGUACUAACACCAUACACCAUAUAAGCAUGCUACACAGAAGUAUUAAUUAGUACAAGAACUCAUUGUUAUUUAUGUGGAAAAAUUGCUAAGUGCCCUUAAAAAGUAGCAAAUAGUUUACAAUUUUCACAGACAACUAAUGUAAUUUACUUUAUCACCAGCUCAUUGGUGAUGUAGGUAAGAUGUUAAAAGAACAUAUUAGGGAAGAGAGAUACCACAGAAGUUAAGAAUAAAUACUAACACCAAGUAGGAAUGUAUAGUGUUUAUAGAUAUAUAUAUAUAUAUAUAUCUAAGUGUUAGUGGGUCCUUUCCCCACAAGAAGUAAAAUUCCUUUGAACUUUGUGAGCUUCUUGUUACUCAAAAGCCCCUAACAAAUUACAAACCAAACAGUUUAUCAACAGAGAGCUUAUGCAAGCCUACUACACAAUAAAGAAUCCAACUUCAAUUAAUAAUUCUUAUGUGGAAGGGAAAAAUAAUAUUAAAUAAUGAAGAAGUACCAGAUGCUAUUGUCAUUCGACAUAAAAGCAAAGAAAAUUAUGCAUGAAGUCAUAAACCAAUAGUUCUGCAAAAAUCUAACUAGUUAAGGUUUGAUAGCACCCAUGAAAUAUAAAUGUUGCUUAACUUGUUCUCUUCAUAAAGAUAAUGUUUAAGAAAAGUGCAAAUUUUAAACAUGAAAAGACAUUAAUUUUUAUUUCUAAUACUUCUUUGAAAGCUGACCUGGUAUGCAAGCAUCGCGCGUUGAGCAUCUGGAGUAGUGAGAACUAUCACUGUUCCUGUUGUGCCGUCCUUGAUGGGUUCAGAGCAAAAUGCCACAUUCGCCCGACGCAAUUUUUCCCUGUAAAACAAAUUAAAGACAGUAGAUUUUAACCUAAAUCACAGAACUGCAGUAGCAAUGAAAGAAAAGGAAAAAUAAAGAAAAGAAGAAUAUCAAUUCUAAAGGAUCAAAUAGUUCAAUGUUUAAUACUAAACACGAAUGUUAAAUCAAACAAAGAAAUGUUUUAGGACCCAGAUGGAGUUACAACACCAGUAUCAUAACAGGAAGACUUUUAAUUAAUUGGGAAUCAGUAUAAAAUGAUAGAUCAUUUCGAGUCUCAAGCAUCAAUUAACUGAAUGAUUACUUUUUCAGCUUGAUUCCCUCUUUAGCCUUAUUAGAACUUCAAAAAAAUUCUUCUCAGUAAUUAUCAAUUGGAAGUUUUUUGCUUUGUUUCCCUUUGCAGAGGGCACCAUAUUUUAGUACCAUUUUUUGUUCUCAAUAAUCCUCAUGAGCUAGGAAUUUCUAUUGGCAAAAAUUGGCAGAGCUUAGUAUUGUCUUCUGUUCAAAUUAUUAUUCUAGCAAGAGAGAAAAAGCAAGGGAAGAAUAGUGAACUCUGCAUCAAACUCAGUCUGGCAUUGAGUUCAGAUUAUAAGUUGAAGUUACAGCUAAAAACAGCAAAAUAUAUAGCAUAACAUAACUAGUUGACAACCAAAUAGUUAUAGUGGCAAGAGCAACCUAAGAUCAUGAGUGGAGGGCGGCAAAUUUAUGCCUCCCUAAUAUUUACAACACACAAUGAAAUUGCAUAGCCCCAAAAGAGUUGCCCAAGCUACCAAACAAUGGGUUUGUCAAGCUUUGCAAAAUCAUGCAUCAAUUUCCAGAUGUAUUUCUUAUUCUUUUGAAAACCAUACCUCUAAUGCCUAAACAGAAAAUUUCCUAUUCUUUAGAACACAGUAGAUGCCUAACAGUACUUCAGUCUUCCAUUCAAGAUUGAACUACCACCAACUAUUUCUUUCUUAAUCAUGAUUCCGUACCAAGAAAAUUCUUUUAAACCUGCACAAGCCACUUUAAUAAAGACAUUAUAUAUACACAAUGGCGACUGCUACUACCAUCUUGAAUCCCCAGAUUCUGGCAUUGCCAUAAGCAUGGCAUCCUGAUAAAGGGAAUAAUAACAUUGGACUCUACAAGCCAUCUAAAGAUGCGAAUGAAAAAAAUUACUUGUUAUUUCUCUAGGCUGAUGAGUACCCACAAAACACAAAAGAUAAACAUCGACCAGAUGAGGUUAUGAAAGUCAAACUGCAAAUGCUUUAUCUUAAUUGCUCCUGACACAACUAUAACUCUGAAGGUAUCCAAUACAAAUUUAUUCAAACUGAAGGGACUCUGAAUCCCUUAUUAACAUCUUUCCUAAGAAGAAAUUAAACCGCCACAACCUCACUACAGAAAGAAGUUUUCCACAAGCUCUUGUAAUUAAGUUUUUUAAAUAAAAAAAAAUCACCAAUUCAGCAUAUUCAAAACAAUGCCUAACCUGUAGAAGCCACCCAAUGGAUCGCUCCCGACGCUGCCCGUCAUGGCUACAUUUAAAGCUGGGCCACCAAUGGGCUUUCCCCCAAGCCUUGCCAAGGCCACCAGACUGUUGGAAAGAGAUCCACCAGCAGCAGCCUUAUAGCUGCAACCAUCCAUAGCACGCAAAACCCUGCCCCUCUCUUCAUGAUUUACAAGCUUCCUCGUUCCCUUCUCUAAUCCCAGUCUCUCCAAAAAAUCAUCGUCAACCAUGCCAGAAAAAUCUACCUAAAAAUACCAGUACAGACACGGAAUGCCAAGAUAAAAUGAUUAUUAUGUAUAAUACUAUAACAUCACAUGUAUAUGUAUCAAAGUUGGAGAUAAUUCUCCAAUAAAUGUGGGAACUAUUCAACGGGUAUAAGAAAUAUUGGCACAGAGCCUUCUGGUGAACUGCAACAUUUUUAUCUCAUGCGGCAUUUACAUCAGCAUCAAAUAAAAAUAACAUGAAUUUCUGGACCAAUUAAACACCUGAGAAUCAAACAGUUACAACCCCAAAGAAAAAAAUGACAAUUCCUUCACAUGAAUGGAGGUACUACUACAAAAUUCAACCAUUUUAAUGUAAACAAGCACAUUCCAUGCAUAAGAUUCUAAUAAUAAAACCUUCUCGUGAACCCCAUCAUUAUCUUAAACUUAGAACACCCCGGUUUGAUAUCCGUACUCUACACAAAGUUACUCACAAAUGAAUCAUACCCAAACUAUACCACUUAAUAUCCAAAAUGCUCAAUGUAGCAACUCAAUUCAAAUGAUGACUCCAAAGACCAAUUGUAAUGCGAAAUCAGCAACCCUUCGCCCAUACCACAUGGGGGAAAAAAAAAAAAUAGAAAGCUUACCAAAGGCGCGAAUAUAAGAAGAACCAAGAUUUGUAAUUUGUAAACUUUAUAAAUAUUCUAAAUAGCUAGAGCAUAUAAUAUUUUUCACAAACAAUUUGAUUAUUAUACAGAACUAACAAUCCAGCACAAAAGUUCAAAAUUUUUAUCUGUUAUGUAGUACAAUUUCUCCUACACGAAUUCAAACGAAAAUCCAAGCUUUUCAUUUGACAAGAAACAAGAUUCAAACUUCAUAAAAAAAAAAAAAAGAAGCAAAAUUACCAUAGCCUGGCCCAGGCCUAAGACAUCCCAUCUCUCAGGCAAGACAGAAGCAGACCCACUGAUCUCUUCAUCAUAUUCGUCUCCAUCAUCAUCAGCCUCGCUCUCAUCUCCAGCUUCAUCAUCUUCCUCAUAAUUAUCUCUCCCCAAAUCCCCUCCCCCACCAUUACUAGCCCAACAAACGGAUAAAGACGACGACGACGACGACGGCGACACCCAUAAAAACCCACCUCCCUUUUUCCCCAUAAAGCCACCCCUCACCCGUUCUUUGCCAAGAGAAAAUUUUCGAAAGACUAGUGCUUGGAGCUUUGUGCGGUGAGGAUGGUGGUGAUAUAAAGAAGAGGGAGGAUGAUGAAGAGGGAAUGUAGGAGAGGAAACAGGAAGAAGAGAGAGAGCCAUUUUAGUGAUUCUUCUGCGAAGUAUUCUUGGAUGUAGAUUUCGUGUGCGUUAUACGUUUGAUGAUUGACUGCUUCUUUUGGCUUCUCGCUUAUGGUGGAGAAGCGUGCAUGCCCAUCCACAAAAACUUAACGUUCAGUUUGAGCCUUGAGAACCAAAAACAGAAACUACACGCCCUCUCUGUUUUGCGGCAUUGAAUUUUCAAAUGGAGGAAAGGAGGAGGAUAACGAAACUCUCUCUCUCUCUCUCUCUCUCUCUCUCUCUCUCUUUCGCUUCCUUAGCGUAAAUCAAUGCUGUCUAUACGUGCCGGCUAUUUAUAUUCUAUUUUUCAUUUUUUGGGAGAAAAAAAAAAGAGACAAGAAUAAGGUGAAAAUUAAGAUGAAGAAUUUUAAUUUACCGGAUUUAUUUAUUUAUUUGCUAGUUAAUAGGAUAUAUUUUAUUUCAGGUGGAUUUAUUUAUUUAUUAAAAAAUACUGGAUUUUUUUCAUUUUAUUUUUUAUUCUUUGAAUAGAAACAAAUUUAAGUUUUUAAGUCUCUAUAAUGUUUGCAAAGUAAAAUAUUUUCAGAAACAAGUAAAUUAUUUUUAUUUCCAAUCAUUUUUUGAUGUCCUGCAUGGAUUCAUCAACAUCUUUUUCUUUCCUUUUUUUUUUUAUCAACAUAGUCUCUUUUCUUAGGUAGCGUUAAUUUUUUUUUAUCUAAAAUCUAACUAAACUGGAAUUAAUUUGAAUUCUGAAUAAAAUUAAAUGUCUGAAUCUAAAUAACAUGUUCUUUUUUUGUCUGAAUCACUAAAAAUAUGUAUGAAUUUUUUUUUUAAUUUAACAAAAUUUGAAAACUACUAUUUUUACAUCUAUACCCUUAUAAAUUAUAAUUGUCAAACAAUUUAUAACAUCUCAAAUAACAUAAAUAAUAUUUUCAUAACAUAAUCAUGCUCAAUUGAAUAUAGCCUUUUAAUAUUUUAAAUUAGUAUAUGUCAAUCAAUUCUAUUGUUGUUUAUGAUGUUUUAUCUGAAAAAUAUUCAUUAAAAAUUAUAAAGAUAAAUAAUACUAAUUUGAAAAAAAAAUAUUCUAGCACUAUAUUAUCAUGAGUUAUAAAGAUGAGUAAUAAUGCUAAUUACUAAACUUAUUUGGGUAUAGAUGAAACUUAAUUAAUAAAAUAAUGAUAUUUUAGAGAAUAAAUUUUAAUGAUGCUAUUUAAAUUUUUUAGAUUAAGAAAAAAGCUAAAUAUAUUAGCUUAAUAACUCAAUAAUUUAAUUAUUGAAAAUUUUCGUUAAGUUGAAAAAAAUUAACGAAUUUACUGACUUAACUGAUUAUAAUUAAGUCAAUUAAGUUAUUAAGUCAGACAAAAUAAAUAGCCCCUUAGUAUCUACUUACUGAAGGCCUUUUGCUUAUUUUUAUUCUUUUUCUACUGAUUGUUGGAAAUUUAUUGUAUUGUAUUCCUAAAGCAGAGUGUAUGUAUGUAUUGUGAAGCAACUAUUUAACUUUCCUACUCUUUAUUUUUUCAAUACAAAUUAGAGAAUAUCACUAUUACCAUAUCUAAAUAUCAUAGAAUUUAUCAAUAGUUUUUUUAUUCUAUCAGAUUAUAGUCAAAUUAGAAUCAAAUUCGACUAUACCUAGAUGCUAAGCAUAUGUUAAGGAAGCAGAGAAUAUCGAAUAUAUAUAUAUAUAUAUAUAUAUAUAUAUAUGAGGAGCAUGGGGUUUUAGAGGAAUUUAUUCAUCAUACUUUUCUUCGGCACCAAUUGAAAUAAUAAGGAUUCUUAAUUUCAUUCAUCAAAGAUACUUAAUUGAAGUUUAUAUAUAUAUAUUUUUUAAAAGUUUGUCAGAACUCUUUUUAGAUUUCUAUUAAGUAGUAGUAAAAUAGAAAAAGAAAUAGUUGUUAUUGAACAGAUAAAACUUCUCCCAUGAACUUCGAAAAUAAUUUGAAAUUGAUGAGAUACUUAAAUAACUAGAAUAAAGUUAUAUUAGUAUAAAAGGAUUUUGAUGAUAUUUGCUCUACAAAAAUUUAUAUAUAAGUGGAUUAAUUUCUUAUAAUUUUUUUGUGUGAGUUUAUUUUCUUAUAAAUUUUGUGCUGGACUUUUGAUUUUAAGCUUCUUCAUUGAACUUUAAUCGUAAAUUUAUGUUAACAUAAACUUUGAAAAGAACUUUCAUUAGAGGUUUUUUGAAAAGUCAAAUAGAUUUUUUAAUUAAAAUUAUUUUUUAGUUAAAUGAUAAUUAUUUCUUCUCCUUACUCUUAAAAGAUGGAAAGAUCGUGAGUUUUCUCACUUUUAUCGUAUAUUACGACAUUUCAUUUUUAAUAUAUUUAUGCACUUAAUUUUAAUUGUGAAUUUAUGACAUGAUAUAUAUUUCUAUAAUAUUAAAAGAAAACAUAUUUCACAUUUUUAGUCGCAAUAAAUAGAAAUAAGUUUGAAGUAGAAAAUUAGUAUAUGUAGCUAAUUUGGAUUUAUCAAGGUAACUUGACUUUUUCCUUUUCUCGAUUGGAAAGGAGAUCAGAUAAUUAAAAAGAAAAGAAAAUUAGAAAAUAAAAAAGGAAAAGGCACGAAGCAACCCAUGGCGAUGGGAAUGGAACUUGGACACAUCACCGCCACAAAUCACCGGGUAAUCUAAGCCGUCGCUUAUACCGAGAAGACUUUUCUUGAUUAUUUAUUUAUUAUUAAACUUUGUAAUGAAAGCUUCACCAAAAAAUAAAAAAAAAAUAGAUGGUGACAAUUUGAUUCUUCGCCGUCGCACUAAAUAGAGGAGAAAAUUAAUUUUUUUUCUUCGUUUUUAUAAUUUAUUAAAAAACGAGAGUUGAUUAACUGUGACAAGUUAACUAAAGAAAUCUUCCUUUAGUAAAUCAUUUAUUAAGAAAAAUUGAUUGAAAGUGAAAAAUAAUAAUAAUAAUAACUUAACACACACACACAUCAUUAUACCUACAAUAAUCGGUCAUAUUAUUAGUAUUCAUAAUAAAAGAAAGUAUUUGUCUAUUUAUAUAAUAGGUCGUAUGGUAAGAUAUAAAUUGGGUGAAUUUGUGGCUAUUGUUAAUUUCUGUAGACAUGUAAAAAAUAAUAAUAGAUCCCAUCUGUUAAUGAAGUGAAUAUAAAUUCAUUUGUAAGAGGUGAUACUUAUGAUAAAAGAAAAUAAAGAAGGUAGAAAUAUCUGCUUUAGCCUUUUGGUAGGUUAGGUUAAUAUAUAAGAAUGUCUGCUCGCAAAGCUUGGACGGUAAUUGAUGGGCUUGGUGGACUCUUUCGUAUCCUGACCGGAUCAUUUAAGCCCGUAGCAGCUAGUGGACCCACGUGGCUCCCCUUGAAUGGCCCACUUGUGCAUAUAUGUUCUCGACCAUGCCUCCCAACAAAUCGUGAUCUUGCUAAUGUAUUUACGAUUCUGAAGAAGCUUCCUCAUCUCUUCCCCACCUAGGCUAAUAUUUUAGAAAGAUUUCAUUUUGUAAGGAGAAAAAAAAAAAAAAAACCUAAAAUAACAAAAUUGUUACUUUUUAUUUUAUUUAUUUUCUUAAAAUAUGGAGGGGUGAGCAAAGACCCAUCAAUAUUUAACCUCCUAUUUCAUUUAGAAGUUAAGAUUCGAAUUCCUUAAAAUUUUAACCAACUAAAUAAAAGUACUUAAUUAAAUAUCAAGGAUGAGAAAAUUAAUUUUAAAUUAACUGGAGGCUUGGCCGUAAAGUUAAUAACGUACUUAUGAGUACUAUUACGGUGCUAAGAAAACAUUAAAAUUUGAUUGCUUCUGGUUAAUCGAUGUGGAUUUAAUGACAAAUUAGGAUAAAUUACUGUUGAUUUUAUUCUAUCAACGAAAAUAUUGAUCUUAGCCCACAAAUUUUCACACUCACACAUAAAUAUAUUAGAGAUACUCUAUUAAUCAUACAAUAAGAAAUUAUAUUAUGAUAAAUAUAAAUUUAUUUUAAAAAAUUAUUAUAUAAGUAGUGAUGAUAUUAAAUUUAAUUCCGCUUAUCGUAUAUGUAUUAAUUAAUUAUAUUAUCUCGGAUAUAAUAUAAAAUUAUUUUUGUCACGCAACUCACACCCGUACGUCCCCAUCAUCCCAAGCCACAUGUACGUUCUAGAUUCAAAAAACUGCGACACAGCAAUACAUAGAGCUCACCCAAUACAAGCCGACCAAUCAAAAUCUGUAUUGUUUUCAUUUGAUUCAAAGCUCUUCACGAGCACUGUCUUCUCGCCAGAAUUAACGAGACGGUGGUGGAAGAAAGAGAAAUAAACAAAAUUCAGGUGCGCGAUCGAUCGCAGCUCUAUAAAUUUUUAUAUUAAUUUUUGCUUCGUCAUUUUGUGUUUUACUAAAUCUGAAAACUUAUUCUUAUUUCUCUCGUUUUAUUUUGUUCCACUAUUUUUACAGAAUUUUGGAGGUAAUUCGCAUUACAUUUGUAAGAGCUUUAUUGUGAAAUUUCUGUAAAAUCUAAUGAAUUAUGAGUUAUUUUUUUCAAAUUUUAUUUAAAACUGUAAAAUUCUGUGGGACUUUUACUGCAAUUGAAGCAGAUUUGAGCCGUUUGAUCCCUUCUUGCUGAUUGUUCGGAAGCUGUGAAUAAAAUCUCGUUUCUUUUAUUAUUAAUUUUUUUUCUAAGGUGAAGUAAGUAAGUCUCGAAUUAGAUUCACUUGAAUUUGACUUGUUUGAAUUUAUUAUGGUUAUUUUAUUUUUCUCCUAUUUGCAGGUAUUUGAAUUGGAGUAAUUUUGUGAGGUUUUGAGUAUUUUAGUAUCAAUGGACCAUGCUGAACUUACCACAGAGCAGGUUAGUGAUGUGAUUUAAUCUGUUGAUUUGCUUGCUUUAUUAUCGUCAAUGAUUGCACAUUACCAUACUAUAGGCAUUUACAUUUUUUAUGUGUUCUGAUUUUGUCAGAACGAACCAAAUGUGCUCUUUUUUUUUCUAAUUAUAACAUUUUAUCUACACUCUUGUGAAAUCAAAUUAUCAGCUGUCUAGUACAAGUGAGUAGGUGAUUGACAAACAUUAGUCACCAAUUUAAAGUGGGUACGUACCGAACGGUUUAGUUGUUGUGCUUUCAGAUAAGCAGAAGCACAAAAAGGCUUCUUUAUAAAAGGAAAGCGUGAGUAACAAGUAAAAGAUGGUUUGUAGUUGUGUUCAUUACAAACUGUUUUCUUUCUGGGAACAUGAAGUAUUGGAAGUUGGCUUAAUCUGGUAAAUGUAUGUGUUGUUGUUACUAGUUAGUUUUAGUUGGUGUUUGUUCAGAAAUGAAAGUGAAAGGAAAUGGUAGAUUAGUCCUGCUCAAUAAUGCUAGUGUGUUUACUUGAUGAUGGCUAAUGUAGCCGGAUUCUAUUUGCCGCUAUGUUUAGUUUUUCUUGACUUUUGAUUAUUGUAUUUUUGUUGAAAUAUUGUGUGAUUUUGAAAAAAAAAAUGUUUUCUUGUUACAACGGAUUUAAUUUAGUCAAUCUGGAUUUUGGUUAACAUCUUCUUUUGUUCCAUAGGUUCUGAAGAGGGACAUCCCAUGGGAGACUUACAUGACAACGAAGCUGAUUUCAGGAACAGGGCUUCAGCUGUUAAGACGAUAUGAUAACAGAUCAGAAAGUCACCGGGCUCAAUUGCUGGAUGAUGUAAUGUUGCGUGGCUCUUAUAUGUUCCAUUCGUUUAAAAUGUACCAGAAAGCUAAUUUUGAUGCCUGUUACAACUUUAGUAGAAGAUUGAUAUGACUUACCAUUUUAAAUAGUCAGUAAUGUUAUUGACGAGUUAAUUGACUCUUACAGGAUGGUCCAUCUUAUGUCCGGGUGUUUGUUAGCAUUUUAAGAGACAUAUAUAAGGAAGAAACAGUGGAAUAUGUUCUGGCUUUAAUUGAUGAGAUGCUGACAGGUAAGAGGAAUGAUUAUGGUCUUUUGGAUAGAAUAUGCAUACUAGACAAUUUACCUCUUUUCAUUUCCUUUGUCAGCCAAUCCAAAGAGAGCCAGAUUAUUCCAUGAUAAAUCUCUUGCAAGUGAAGAUACUUACGAACCUUUCUUAAGUUAAGCACUUAUGCAAAAUUGUUAGAAUUUGAAAUCAUUGAUCCUUUUACAGUUCAUAUCUUAUCUUCUUUUCUUAACUAAAACGAUAUGUUAUCUUUUCCAAUUUCAGAUUGCUGUGGAAAGGUAAUUGGUUCAUACAAGAAAAGAGCUGUAAGAUAUUAGCUUCGAUUGUAAGGUACUUAAAACAUGAUCCAUUUGCUCAAAGGUGCAAUAGUUUGGAGGUUGGUAUAUUUUGUUACAUUCAGUUACUGAUUGUGCAAUAUUUUCCGUAAUCAUAGUGCUAGGCCAAAACCACAGGAUCGCUUUUUUGCUAAUGGGGAAGCCUCAAAUUCAAAAAGCAAAUCCACUACCAUUGAUGAUGUUUUAAAAUUAUUGGUUGAAUGGCUUUGUGCACAGGUUAGUAUGUGGCUAGUUCCAUACUUUGUCUUUCCUUCUCUCUUUCUUUCUUUCUGAAAAAUUUGGGCCUCGGUUAGUGUUGGUUAAGGAACUAUCAGGAAAUUGAAAGCCUUCUUUAAUGAUGCAUAAAAGAAGUUUGACGGAAAAAUUGACUUAGUGUGCAAAAAAUUUGAACAUAAGGUUUUUAAAUUCUUUAUGGUGUUUAUUUGGAACCUUCACCAGUGACUUGCCUUUUUAAUAAUAUUAUGUUGCAUAGCCUGUCCAGACACUAGUUUUCUUUUCAAUUUCCAUUUUUUGUUUUGUUUUGUUUAGUAGUUAGGGGCAUUCUCAGGCUUGGUAUGGACUUUACAGAAAUCACUGGGUCUUUAAGAAUAGGAGAACAAGAAUUUUAUACACGUUGAUAUAGUGCUCGAAAUUUGAGUGGUAUAGAUGUUCAGAUUCUGAGCUCAUUUAGGAUCUUCUAAUAAUCCUGAUCCUAGGUGUGAUAUUGAGAGUCUAUCCUUCCUCUUUUUUUUUUUCCUUAGCCUUUCGCAUCAAGUUUUUGCUCUUAAAUAUCAAAUUGAUCAUGGACAAACCUUAAUUCAACAGUCCUAUCUUUCUGCCAAAUCUUGUUUUUUUCCUUCUUAAUUGAUGUUGGAAUAUCAAUCCUAAAGUCAGGUUUAAUUGCCUGCAUAUUUCUUCUUGUUUUCAGCUCUUUGAUUCUCAUAUUCUACAUCUAUUAUCCCUAGCCCAUUGAAUGGUUGUUGUAUUUUUGCUGGAACCGUUGUACUCUUUUAUUUAUUUAUUUUUCUCUAAUUAAAGUAAUGUUGACAUUUUACCACUCUUUUAUAACUCUGGACUAGUUGAGAAAUGCUUUUCUACGUAGAGUGCUUUGAAGUCUUGCAUUUUCCUUUUAAUGAAUGCUCCAUUUGUGUUUUUACAAUUACAUUUUCAAUAUCAGUUGUUAGGUAUGUUUUUCGGUGAUGGUAUUGUCAUACAUGAUAGUCCUGAUGCCCUACAUUGUGUGUAGCUGAAGAAGCCUUCCCAUCCUAGUCGUGGCGUUCCAGUUGCUAUCAAUUGCCUUGCAGCAUUACUGAAGGAACCUAUGGUGAGAUCUUCCUUUGUUCAAGCAGAUGGGGUGAAGUUGUUGACCCCUUUAAUUUCACCUGCAUCCACACAGCAAUCUAUCCAGGUAAUAUUUCAUAUUCUAGAUAGCUAAUUUAUAUGUAGUUCAACACAUAAGUGGGCACCCAAUCCUGCAAUUUUUUUUUUUGUUUUUGGUUUUUGGGGGGGGUUUUCAAUUGCCGACCCUGCUAGUUAGCAGGUGCCAUGCUGGGUUAGAAUUUUGGUAAAACUCAGUAUUUUUGUCCUGCAACCUUUUACUUCUGAACUCAUAAAUGAAAUUCUCAUUUCACUUGGUGAGCAAAACAUUAAUUGAAUAACGGAAUUAUGUUAUUGACAUCUUUUUUUCUUUUUUUUUUUCCUCCUUGUAACAGCUUCUUUAUGAAACAUGUCUCUGCGUCUGGCUCUUGUCUUACUAUGAACCUGCAGUGGAGUACUUGGCAACUACUAGAACCCUGCCACGACUAAUAGAUGUUGUUAAGAGUUCCACAAAGGAGAAGGUGAGAUCUAGUUUCUUGGUAGUAUUUAAUGUUAGUAAAGGCUCACUGCUGCACAAGAUGAGUGUCAUCCACUUGAAUACUAUUAACUUGUUAUACAUACAUAUAUAUAAAUAUAUAUAUUGGCUUGUGGUAGAAGUAGGCUAUUUUCUUAUCCAAAAGAAUUCGUUCCUUUGUUCAUAUGGUUAUUGAGAUAGGCUUAUCCUGCUAGGUUGUCAGGGUGGUGGUCUUGAUCCUUAGGAACUUGCUUCCCAAAGGUAAUUUUGCUGCUCAGAUGAUAGACCUUGGACUACCUCAAGUUGUUCAAAGUUUAAAAGCACAAGCAUGGAGUGAUGAGGUAAGAGAAGUUGCUCGCUGUUUAGUUUUUCUUUUUCGGCUGAUUGCAUAAUUAUUUAGUUAAUAGAUCGAGUAAAAUUAAGGGAGUUGAUGGCGCUGUUUGCUACUGAUUGGUGCAUUUGGUGAUCAUUUUAUAUGGAUUAAAAAUUUACUUCAGCUUCUGUGAAGUAUGGUGUGGUAGAAUAGUCAGUUGCUUGUGUGAUGACAAAAACUACUGUUAUUUUUGUUCAUUAUAUGAAUAUUAGUGUUGUUUUGGUGCAUAAUUGAUGAUAGAAGGUAUGCUUACCAGAGUCUUUUUACCCCAUACUUGGGAUCGGCUAGUCAAUUAUGAUUUUGAUACCAUUACGCCCUAUUAUUCCUUUGUUCAGCAUGGAAUAGUUUUGUUUCAAUCCACACUUUGAUUGAAGCUCUGGCCGGCGAAAGUGCUGACUACUAUUGCACGGACCUACACUAUCUUUGACAACUUGAGACAUUUAUCCUGGGACAAUGUUACCUCUAAUGGCUGACAAAUGCCUGCUUUAUUUAAUUCUCAAGCACCUGUCAUCUGAGCAAUGUUAACUCAAUUAAUUGUGCCUUUUUUAUUACCACAUUUUCUUUGGCCUUGAACCAUUCAAUUUUGCCAAGGCUUGACUCUUUUUCCUCAUGAUGAACUGAAGCUGUAUACUGCUUUUGUGGAAUCUUGGUAUCCAACACAAAAUGAAGAUUUCAGCCUUCAAACUUAUAAUGCAAGAUAUUAGAUUGAGUUUGGGUGGCUCCUGAAUAAUGCCAAAAAGAAUUGAGUCUUGACCACCAUUGCUGAAUUUUGUUUAACCUAUAACACAAUGAUGACUUCAUCUUGCCACAUUUACAUAUAAUAGAUUUCAAUAUCUUCUUAGGAUUUACUAGAGGGUCUGAAUCAACUGGAAGAAGGUUUGAAGGAUAAUAUUAAGAGAUUGAGUUCUUUCGACAAGUACAAGCAAGAAGUCCUCCUUGGCCAUCUCGACUGGUCCCCUAUGCACAAAGAUCCCCUAUUCUGGCGUGAUAAUAUCACAAACUUUGAAGAAAAUGAUUUCCAGGUAUAUCUUUUCCCCAUGGACAGUGUUUCUAGUUUUUAUUUUUCAUUUUUCUGCUUUAACUUCACUGAGUGACUUGGCAUCAUUUUGUAUAAAGAAAUACAAAGUUUCUGUAAUACUAACGGAUAAUCUUCUCUCUCAGAUUCUAAGGGUCCUCUUAACAAUUUUGGAUACAUCCAGUGAUCCACGAGCUCUUGCUGUCGCCUGCUUUGAUCUGUCACAGUUUAUCCAGUACCAUCCAGCUGGGCGGGUCAUUGUGACGGACCUCAAAGCCAAGGAACGGGUGAUGAAAUUGAUGAACCAUGAGAAUACCGAGGUUACCAAGAGCGCCUUACUCUGCAUCCAAAGGCUUUUCCUAGGCGCAAAGUACGCGAGCUUUUUGCAGGCCUGAAUUCUCUUUGCAUGGGGUCCAGUAUUGUUUACAAAGGAAAUGCUUGUAAUGAUUUGAUUCCAGUUUGGCUGUGGUUAGGUUGUUUAUUUAUUUAUCAAUCAUUGGAGGAAUUUAUGAAUCAGGGGAACUCGUCUGUUGGAUUUUUUUAAGUACUGUGAAGAAUUAGUUGAUUUUUUACCAUAUUUUGGAAAUUUAUUUUGUUUUUGAGAUGAGGAAUAAAUUGAUACCAUCUCUACUGACCUUUGAUAUGAAAACUACUCGAGCGCAUGAUGUAUAUCUGUUUUUGUUCAUUUCUGUAUCUUGCUGCUGACUGAAGCUGGAUUUUCAGGCUCGUUAUUAUCAUUUAUUCUUUUGAAGUUGCAAAAUGAAUUCUCAAUAUUUUCAGGGGAAAUGCUUAUAAUUAGCGCGGAGUUAAACAUUGAUUGUGUACUGUAGACUUCCAAAAGGCAAUUUAUUUCCAUUUAUUUGAGUAAACUAAAUCUCCGUGAUGGUAGCACUUAUUUAAUCACUUAUUAAAAAAUUCUUUGAAAAUUUGAUGAUUGUUGUUGAAAACAUUUACUAAUUGUAAAUGCGUUAAAUUACCCUUCCUUCUUCGUUUGCCGUCGUCACGAUGACCGGAAAAGGUACCCACCCCACUCCCUCUUUUGAUCAUCAUUUCGCAUACACUUUUCUUAAAUUUAAUUUUUUUUUAAAUUUUUUUCUCAUGUACCCUUGUGAUUCUUUUGCAUUCUUUAUUGGAUGUUAUUAAUUAUUAUUAAAAAAUUCUAAAAAAUAAAUAAAAAUCACGGCAGCUAGGAGUUGAAUGAAACUAUGGACUCUUUUUGAUAUUGUGGGAUUUGUGUCUGGGUGUGAGUGCACACAUUUUGAUCGGUAGCUAACUAAUGGAUGUCAUUUUUCCAUGUAUCAAUUUUCAGUUCAUAAUUUGUGUCUGAGUGUGAGUGCACAAAUUUUGAUCUGUAACUAAUUAAUGGAUAUCAUUGUUUAAAAUGUGAAAAAUUUAGUUUAUUCUAUGCUAGUUUUUCAUAACAUGAGUUGGACUGAGCUCAGUCAGUUGAUGCUCCAUGUUUUUGAUUCAUUGAAGGUACUAUGAAUUGGGACCUGAUGAUCCGCCAUAUGCUGCCAAGUUUUACGACUGCUGCGGGGCCGAGGAUGCUGAUGCCUCUGGUUGUACCACUGGCUUCCAUGUCUCUUAUGAUGAUGAUUAACAUAAUUUUUACCUCCUAAUCACCUGUAACUAUAGAUUAAAUUUGUAGAUAUCUCCGUGUCUCCUCCUGUGACCCACAUCAUUUCCACUGUUCUACCACUGUAUAAUUCAGGCCUUUCAUCAGUUUAUCUCUUCAUUUCUCAACAUUUUUCUUUUUUUUUUUUUCCUGGGGUUGAUCUGGCAUGAAUUCGACAUGUGCUGCUAUGGCCAACUUUCGAGGGAUGAUGGUAAAUCUAAACCCUUUUCCAUAAACUUCUGCAAUUAGUUGGUCUAGGGCAUUUGAAGAGCUUAUACUGGAAGCCAUUGCCUUCCCACAUCUUAAGUAAAGAGUAAUGCUACUUUGACAGAAAUAGGUUUACAAAAUUUUGACAUACUUAUGAAAUACUAAAUUACCUUUUAGUUUAUUUACAGAUAGCGAAUUGGGCUUUUUACAUAUUUUUGUAAGAAUCAACCUAAACUUAUAUUCAGGAAAGAAAUAACUGCAGAGGAGAAAAAAGUAAUGAGGCGAUAGAAAAUUAUGCCAAAAUUAAUAGUAAGGCAUUUGAGAUUGCAGUAGAACUUCUCAAUAAUCAUAUUAUUAGGAUCAAUUGAUUUUGUUACUAUAAGGAGGUUAAAACUUUGUAGAGGUUUAGUUCAAAAUUACUAUCUUGACUUCAUUAUUCUUAGUGUAAGUAAGAUAAUUAAUAAAUAAUUAAUGAAGUGUGUCAAUUCUAUGAAGCUUCAAACAUGCUUGAAUACUUAAAAAUAUUUUGUCUUCAACAAGAAGGUGUGUAUAUUAUUGAAUUAUUUUUGCAAUAUACAAAUAAUUAUUAUUAUGUGGAGGCAAUUUCAAAGAUGUGAUAACAAUUUUAAAGAAUAAAUCAUUGUCUCAAACAAUUUUAAAAAAUAUUUUUUUCUAUACUAAAUCUUUUAAAGUAACAAAUAUGUUUUGCAAUACACAUAUAAUUAUUAUUAUGUGGAGAUAAGUUACUAAAGUCAGAAUCUAAAACACUUAUUACAAUUAGAGUUAAUUCUUAUUUAUAAUUUACUUAAAUUAAAGUUAAAAUUUUUUUAUCACUAUAAAAGAGUUAUUUCUAUAUAGAUAAUCACUAUAAAUAUAGAGUAUCACUAUAAAAAAGUUUUACGAUCAAUCAUCCGUCAUAAUAAGCACAAGAAUGACAAGUUUUGAUUCUCAAAUAAAUUCUUAUAAAACACAACCAUGGAUUAAGAUUGUCGGGAAAUGGGAAUGCAAUACAAAGUAAUUAAUGACACAGUCUCAGUGUUUCACUUACACGUGAAGCAAACGAAACAAGAAGAAUCUUAAGAAAAAAACACUCACCAGAACGCAAGGUUCAAUCCCGGUUUACUACGUCAACCUCCAUUCCUCAAAGAGAUUGGAAACACGUCAACCUUCAUCUCCACCAGUAUUCACCUCCACGAAUAAGAAUUCUGCGCCCAUUUGCACUAUUUGAAUCGAGUGGAAGCUUUUUAAGCGAAUCGCAAACCCAAACUUGCAAUACUUUCAGACGUGGGAGAGGCAAGGGCUUCCAGUAAAUGCUCUUCAAACGGACCAGUCCUCCUAACUCAAGACGCUGGAGUUUUGCAAAAGGGCUGUUUAUUAUUCCCGUCAUCUCAGGAAUGUCAUCAAACUCUCCAGCACUGAUUAUUUCUUCCAUGUCAUCGCAAUAGCUUACGGAAAUAGACUUGAGGUUUGGAGCAAAAACGAGGAAUGUCAAGUGUUUCAAAUUUCUGCAAAAGCGUACGGUAACUUUCUCAAGGCUGCGGAAAACAUAAGGUUGGCGCGAUUUUUGUACCAUAUCAUUGCAGUCAAUCUUCAGUCCCUUAAUACAACCACAACUAAAAAAGUCUAAUGUAUUGAGCUGCUCUAGAUCGGCUAAAUCUGCAACAUCGAUCGACUCCUCCCUAUCGAAGCGAUGGAGCAAGAGAGCUUGAGUACAACUUCGUAACUUCUGUGAGCUCAAAAAUGUUUGGUAAGCCUCAAAACUCCUGAAGGAGAUCUCCAGUACCUCUAAAUAUUUCAAACCGAGCAAUUCCUCUGCUACAUUCUCAUGCCAAGAGCUAAGUAAAAAACCAGUAGCAAACAUUCUCAACACACGUAACCUUGAAAAAUUAGAUAACAGUUGCUGUGGAACUACAACUAACUCUUUUGCCCAGACCAAAUUCAAACAUUUAAGAUUUACCAACGCUUUUAACUCUUCGGGUAACUCUGUAACGCUUGUAUUUGAAAUAUCAAGGAGUUGUAGUGAAACCAACUUUGAGAUCCCCAUUGGUAACUGCCGUAGCGUUUCAUUAUCUGACAUCUUCAAAACUGUUAGACAAGACAUAGACUGGAAGAAGCCACCGGUGAUCGUCCUCAACGGAUUACGGUUAAGAAACAAAGUAAGAAGAUGAGGGCAUGUCGGAACAGUUGGUAGAUUAUCAAUUGAAUUUCUCAUCAAUGAUAAUCUUCUCACAAUUUCCCAUCCUCUGACAUCUGCCUCCCUUAAUCCGGAACCUGCAUAAACCAAAAAGCCCUCCUUCUCCUUCUCAAUCUCACAAGUUAUCCACAAUGCCAUAUCGCGGAUGACGUCAUGCAUUUUUACUUGAUCAUCUUCUACCUCUUCCAAUAAACAUGCAUGAACAAGAGUGCCCACGAUAUAGUAUCCUCGGUUUUGUGUGCCAAACUUGUCUUCUUCCAAAAACCCCUCGCACAUCCAGCAAUCAAUCAAGUCUCUUUUAUCUAUGCCGUAAUCUUCCGGAUAUAAACAACAAUAUAAGAAACAAGAUCUGAUUGCAUCGCUUGGCAAGCAAUCAUAGCUGAAUUUUAAAAGAGGAUAUACCUCCUUUCCCAAACCUGUAAAUUCGGAAGCUGAUCUUCUUAAAACUUCAAUCGCAUAUCUCCAUUCUUCAGGAGUCUUUUUGUAGGCCAUGGCUCGACCAAUAGUAAUAAGCGCGAGCGGCAAUCCACCGCACUCCUUUGCCACAGUUUGAGCUAGUUGAGGAAUACUAUGAUGACUCUCAAUAGUUUCUUCCCCAACUUUCUCUCGAAAUAGUUCCCAAGCAUCCUCAUCGGAUAAGCAUGCCACUUUGAACUUCGUUCGAGCUUCCAUACCGCCACAAACAUCAACGAAACGGGUUGUAAAUACUACUGCACUAUUCUUUGGAAGAGGGACACCAAUCUUCUUUAGAUCAACCCGCUCCCAUAGAUCAUCCAACAACAAAGCAAACUUCUUCUUGCUUAAAGUCUUGAAGAUGUCCUGAGCUUUCUCUUCGAGACUUUUGUCCUUCCAUGAAUCAUUAUAUAGACCUAUCUUUUUCCCGAUAGUUUCUUGAAUUUUUUCAAGCUGCAGGUCUUUUGACACCACAACCCAAAUCACAGAAUCAAAAUCUGUUGGAUUAUCAACAAAUUUAUUAUUGAUUUGGGUUAACAGUGUAGUUUUACCGACACCGCCCAUGCCGUAUAGGCCAAUUAUACCAGCUGCAGGUUCUUGUACAAGACAUCUCCAAACUUGUUCAAGUUGUGAUUGCAAGCCUACCACCGUUGGCUCAGUAGGUCUUUCAUCUGCCACAGAUAUUAAUUCUGGAUCUGGCGCGGCCACCUCUUCAAAAACUCCUUCCCCCUUUAAGGCCUUCACAUCUCGCAGCCUUUUAGCAACUUUUCUACCAAACUUGUAGCUUGACUUGCAGUUCCUGGAGCAGUAGCCUCCAAGACACAAUUUGUCAAUUUCCUGAGAGCCACCAUCUCUUCCCAUGAGUUCAUCAACUUCAGUUUUAAGAGUCUCCACCCUCGAAAGCCAAACCUGCACUUGGUUCAGCCUCUUCAUUUUGUGUUGGUGUUCAGCAUUGAGGACCCUCGUCAUCACAUCAUUCUUUGCAGCGAUUAGUUGUUCCAAUUCAGUCGUCAAGGCAACAACAUUAUCUUUGAGGUCAGUUAUAUAUGCCGCUUUGCCAAGAGCGCAGUCUGGGCAACGAUUGAACAUUGCGCCAACAUCGCAAGAGAUUUGCAAAAUGUUACCCAUAAUGGAUCUCACUUGUAUGUAUGAAUUCAACCAAGAGAGAAACAAAGGAAUUUAACUUCACCAGUUUGAUGAACAGAAGCUGCUGUCGCGGAUUAAUUGAGAUAGAACAUUAGUUAUUGAAUAAUGUAAUCAGCUCUGUUUGUACCCAACUCACUAAAAAAAGUAACAAAAAGGAACAUUAGUUAUUGAAUAAUGUCCAAUACGUAUUAGCAAAGUGGGUAAGUUAUAUUUAAUGUAACCUACGGUCAGUCUGUGAAAUUGUAUCUAGUCUCCUAUGUUCUAUGUUAUUUAUAUUUUAUUCAUAAAUAUUAUAAAUAUUUUGAAAUAUAAAAUUCCGUUUAACCCCUUAUACUCAAUUUUAUUUUAUUGAAACCCUAGAGUAUGAAUUCCCCCCAUAAUUUUAAAUUCUCAAAAUAACCUCCAUUUAAUUAAAAAAUAUAAUUAUUUUUAAAUAAAUUAUAAUUAUAAUUAUUAUUUUAUUAUAAUCAUAAAUAUUUUUUAAAAUAGAUUAUUAUUAUUAUUAUUAUUAUUAACAAGAAUAAAAAGCAUUAUAAUUAAUUAAUCUAUUAACAAUAAUUAAUAAUAUUUUUUAUUAAAUUGUUAAUAAUAAUAAUAAUUAAUGAUUAUCUAACUAAUAGGAAAUGUAUUGCUAAUGCUACCUUCGACUUUAAAUACUCAUUAUCGGGUUUCAAGAGACCAAUGAAUGACAAUUUCUGUCAAAAUUUUAAGCUUGACCCAAUAAAAAUAAUUUUACAUUUAAAAAACUAGAAGUAAGAAAAAUGUGUUUACAUCCUCGAAGGUGUAACAACUUAGCAAAAAGCACUUAAAAAUUACCGUUUAAUAAUGAGAUGCCUACGAAACUAUUAUUUAUCAAAGUAACAAAAAAUCCUGAAAGUACUUGAAAUUAAAAAGUAUAGAAAUAUAAAAGAGUCUCCUACAUAAAUAUGGACUCAAUGUUUAUUCCAUUUUAUUAUAAUCAUAAAUAUGUUAAUUAUCAAAAUUUCUGUCAAAAUUUUUGUUUCCUCCUUUCUAUCUUUCAUAUCAGCAUUAUUUUUGUCUUGAUUAUUGAAUAGUUGAAUAUGUAUGUGUGUGGGGGCAUAUAAUAUAUAGUACUUAGAUUUUGUUUAAUUUUCUAUUGUUAACUUGAUUAUUUGUGGCAUUAAUUUAAUAUGAUUUACAUCUUUUUGGUUGUAGUAUUGAUGAGGUUCCUUUAUAUGAUGACCCAAUUUUUUUUUUUUUUUUUUGGUCUUCAUUUGUUUAAUUAUGAGAAAAAUAAAAUAGUAAUAAGAUUGGUCAAUUUGGGUAAACAAUUAAUGAACUAAUGUAGUAUAUCUCAUCUCACUCCCCUAGCAUAUCAUAAAUUUCCAAAAUUUGUCUUCAAUCGAUUAAACAUAAAUUUCAAAAUUCUUUAAAAAAAAAAAAGCCAAUACCGAUCCUUUAAAGUUUAAAACAUCCAAAAAGGAAAAAAAAAAAAAAAUCAUCUAUUAGCAUAUGGUAAAAGCAUAAUUCGACUAAAGUUGGGACAUGGCAUGUGGUAGACAUGUGGAUUGAUUGCUUGUGUUAUUGAAUCGUUGUAUCAUCGACUUCGCAUUAUUAAUAAGCUUUUUAACUUUUAUGAUUUUAUAAUAAACAGUAGGGGUUUAAGUGUUAAUAACCAAUUGAACACAUUUCAACGGUUGAACACUUUAACCCUCGUAUCAAAUGGCUGAACCAGAAAAUGACAAAGUUUGGGGUACCGUGCAACUGUUGCACGGUAGGCGGACCCUAUUGAAUAAUGUAAUCAAGUCAUGGGUAGACGGAUGAAUCCUAUAAAUCUAUAGGCGGACCCUAUAGAUUGAUUAGUCAAGUAAGGGAAAUGGGUCCGUAACUUUCAAGCAAGACUUGACGUCCUGUCCCUUGCCUCCUCACCAUACCAUUAAAGUUUUGAAGUUAGGCCAAUUAGAUUAAAGGUGAGAUGGAAUGGAUUUAUGGAGUCGUUGAUUACUGAACGUAUUUGCCAAUCUAUUGGACGUAUUAAAGUUCUUUCCCUUUCAACAUUAUUGAACGUAUUUUGCAGGGAAACCUCCUCUAUCUUUCUUCCCAUUAACGUCCAAUUAAGACUUUUGUGUAUCCAAUUAAUGUCCAUUAACUUGAAGAUUGAAGAGGGCCAGCGUUAUUUCAAAGUCAAGAUUGGCUUAUUAGCUUGCAGAAUUCUUGAUAUGAGUUAAAAAAAUAAAUAAAUAAGGUUGAAAAGGAUUAGGAUUAGCUUAGUUUUUAUUGAUCAUUGAAUUAAUGGUUAGGAUUUAUUUUAUAUUUUACUUUUUUCAUCUAAUUACCAAUCUAGUGGUCAGCACUGAAUUGAAUACUUGUCUAAUUGAAAGGUAAUGGGUAAAAGGUUUUUAAAACUUUAAAUAUUUUUGUGAAUUUUUGAGCAGCAGCCAAAUUCCAAGAUUCUCAACAAUUUUUGAGCCAAUCCCAAAGGAGAUUUAGUUUACUAUACACAUGCCACUUCUUAAUAAUUAAGAUCUACAUAAAUGACUUUUAAUUUUGUAUGAUGAUCUCUUCCUCUUUGGAACAGAUACUCAAAUUUUAUUCAUCGUGACUGUGUUGAUCAAAACCGAUAUUAAUCAAUCUUGUAUUCAAGUACACUCAACCAAUUCUGUUUUCUUACAGAAUUGUUCAGAAAUAAAGAACUGUAAUUACCUCCAAAAUCAAACAAAUAAUAACCAAUAUGUUAUAUUUUUUAAUUGGUUUUUUUCCCCUUCAAAUAAUGGAGUCCAUAGUGCAGUUUUGACUGGCACAUGUACUAAGAUAUGAAAGUUAAUGUACAAAAUGGAAGAAUAAUAAAAUCAUGUCCGAAAUUAUUAAUUCUCAGGUGCAACCUAAAUUUAGAUGUAUCUUAAUUCUUAAAAGGAGAAAAAAAAAAAGAGUCAAUCAUUGUUAGAGCUUCAAGAGCUUUGAGAUCUUAUUGGUUUAUUUUAUUAUUAGUAUUUGGCGUUUUUCGCUUUCAGGAUAGUCGCAACAAAUAGAUUCUUGAAAGAGCGGUGCUAUUGGCACCUUCUUAAAACUCAAUUGAAACCCCAUUUUCAUGUUUAUAGCUUUAUUCUUAGUUAAAAUUACACAAAAGGACAAAAGAAAUUUAAUUAAAAUUUAAUUUUCUUUUCUUUUUGUUACUAAUUCUUCAAACCCAAUAAAUUACUUUAUUGGGAUUUUUGUUAUUUUUGCCUUUAAUUUCUUUUUUUUUUGUAAGUAAAAUAAGUGCCCACUUGGUGAAGAAAAUCCAAUAAUUUGAUAAAAAUCUAAUAAAUUUCUUGGACCUUUUUUUCUUAAUUAUUUCCAAAAUCAUUUUGGAACUAAAAAAAAUUGAAUCCCAUAUACAUUAGAUACUGAAAAUAAAGAGUUUAUGAUGUGUGGGUAUGAACUGCGAAGAGUUAAAAAGAAAAUACGUACAUGGAUUGGGGUUUAAUAAUUUUGUAUUUGUAGUUUUAUGUAAUUUUCUCUGGUGAAAGAGCUGUUAAUGAAAACGGGGUUUCAUAAGAAUAACGAGGGGGUGCCAAUAGUAUUACUCUUCUUGAAAAUCAUAUGAGAAAGACAAAUAGCCCAAAAACAAAGUGCCUGUAUCUUUAAAUUUAUUAUAGAGUAGUAAUUUUUAUUUUUUUUUUAAAAAUUGCUCUACCUUUUUUUUUUCAAAACCUUAACUAAAAUAUUAAAAUUGUGAAAAUUAGGAAUCUGGUCAGGAUGAUAUUCUGAGUCCCAUUUUCAUUUUCAUUUAUUGAAAAUAAGUUGAACAACUGUUCGGUAUAAUGUUCUAAUAAAAUGAAUUAUGAAAUAAAAAAUACAGAUUUUACUUUUGUUUACUCAAAAAGUUGAAGAACGACAUUUUUAUGGUUUUAUUGAAUUUCAAGAAUGGAAGCCAUUCUCUCAUCUUUAUCUUAUAUUAGCGUCCAUGGUAAUUAAAAUGGUUUUUGUAUCAAAUUGAUAAGAUUGAAACAUCUAAUGCUACAAUGGCUUUUGUGAUUAUUUUAAAUUUGAAGUUAAAAUUUGAUAAAACUAAUAAGUUUUAUUGAGCAGAAGAUGAGUGGAAGGACUUUUUCUAUGAUAUUUAGCCGAACAAAAAGAUAAAAUAAAAUGUUCAAGGACUUUAAAAAAAUGUCGUCAUAUUUUGCUUGUACCAAUGAAACAGUAGUUGUGAAAAAGGAUUAAAAUAAUAUUUUCAAAUGAGAUUUUUCUCUAUACCUUAUCAUACCUUUUAUUUGAAUAUCUUUCUUCGUAUAUAAAUUUAUGAUUACAUUUAUCAGAUGCUCUAUAAUAUAUUUCAUUUACUGAAAAUUUUUAUUAUUAAAUGUAAUGAACAAUUUAAUCUUUUUAUAAGUGUUUACUGUGUGAUACCAAAAAAUAAAUAAACUCUAAAUAAUCCAUUGACAUAAAUAUAAACUAUAUGUUUAAGUUAAAAAAAAAAGUUUCAAUCCAAUGCUACCGAACAAGUAUUACAGUUUUUUUAUUUAAAAUAUAAGUUUCAAAAACUCAUACUGAACACAUACUUAUAUUUAGAAUACUAGUUUCAAAAACAUCAUUUUUAUUUUUGUUUUUGUUCUAUAAAAACAUCAAUUGACAAUAAUAAAGACAAAGAAUUGAAAAUUUUAAUAAGAAUUAAUCUAACUACUCUCUUUAAAAGGAAAAAAAAAAGAAAAAAGAAAAAAGAAAAUAUCUAACUACACUCACUUUCUAAAAAUAUUAAUACAUAUAAUUACACUAAAACCCCUAUACAUUUUUAUUUUACCAAAUAAUUAUGUGAUUAAUAUUUAUUUAUAAAAUAUAACAAUUAUGUGAUUAAUAUAAUAUUAAUUUUAUAAUCUCAACUCAAUGGUCAUAUCAAGAGCAUAUUUAAUUAUUUUAUUUUUAAUCUACAAUUGAGAUGUCACACCAUGGAGUUAAAGCGGUUGUUAUCAUUUUGUUUUCUGAUUUAAUUUCUAUUUUAAAAAUAAUUUGAGACCCCGUGAGCAUUCAACGAAUGAUUUGCGAGUUUGGAGGAGUCCAUGCAUAUGGGGCCCACUGGUCGUUUGAUGAUUGAUUAUGUCACAUGAUUCCUGCCACAUACGAUUAUUAUCCACCCUUUAUCUCUUUUUUUUUUUUCUUUAAUAAAUAACCCUCUUUACUCAUUUCACUUCCAAAUUCAUGUUCAUGCCCUUACACUAUUGAUUUAUCUAUUUUUUAUUUUACAUUUUUUUUUACUCUUCCUCAUGUUAUUGUCCCUUUCUUUUUCCUUAGCAGUAAUGUUCCCAAAUUUAAUCGAGAAACAAAGAUAUAAAUGAUAGAACUUAUUAGUUUGAUAAUUUAUAAACUCGCAAUAGAUGAUACUCAUUUUCAUUCCUAGAUAAAUGCAAUACGGCCGUGUAUAAAAUACGUCGAGAUUUGGGAAAAACGUGGCCCUAAGGCCUUUUUAGUAAGAUUAGGGAUUUCACUGAAAUUUAAUUCCUUUAAAAUGUGAAGUUUACGUUUUGCACCCUUUGAAUUUACAGUUUCUUAUUUAUGGCAUCUCAAUUUGGCUUCUCUCGAAUAUGGUCCACGUUAAACCAAAAUUAUAAUUGCACCACUAAAUAUGACAGUACUGGAAAACUAUUUGAAGUGGAAAGUUAGUGAGUUUCUAUUUUUUUUUAAGGAUAUAUUUUAAGUAUUAUAUAGAUAAAAAUUAACUAUCUACCUAAGUAACCAAGCGAGCAAUUUAAACUUUAGACCUCUUUUACAUCAACGGAUUAUGUUUGGCAGACUCAAUUUGUCAAUAACUAGAUAUAUGUUACGACAGACUCAAUUUGGGGCAGAUUCUAAGGUAAGGAAAUUGAAAAUGCCUAUUUUCGAAGGUGAGGAUGCCUAUGGAUGGGUGUAUAGGGUAGAGCGCUAUUUCGCCAUCAAUGGACUCUAAGAAAGGGAAAAAUUGAUGGCGGCGGCGUUAUGUUUGGAGGGAAAGGCCCUUGCGCAGUUUCAAUGGUGAGAACAACGAAAACCGUUGAGGUCAUGGGAUGAGUCUAAAGAUCGGCUAUUGGAGAGGUUUCAGGGCACUCAAGAGGGAGAUUUGCAUGAACAAUUUUUUACUUUGACCCAGGAUAGAAUGGUUAUGGAGUAUAAGGAGAAGUUUGAGUUACUAUUAGGGCGUUUAUGGGGAAUUCCAGAGGCGGUAUUGGAAGGAAAUUUUAUGAAGGGACUGAAGCCAGAAAUCCGAGCCUCGCUACGCUUGCUAAGGUCGAGAGGGUUAGGGGAGUCAAUGGAGUUGGCACAAUUGGUUGAGGAUAAGAGCACGAUAGAACGGGUUAAUAGGAGCAAUUCAGUCAAUUUUUCAUACCAAAACAACACGCCAUUGGUAGGACAGAAAACCCAGACUUUGGGGUUCCAGCGAGAGUUCCAAAGUACACCACUAGGAGGCCAGAAAAUGCAAAUGGUGGAUUUAUAGAGAGAUUCCCAAAGGGAUUGGGAUAGUGGGGCACGACUGGGGGUGACUUUCGAACGCCUCAUGGAGACAGAGAUUCAGGAUAAGAGGGCGAAGGGGUUGUGCUUUCGAUGUGAUGAGAAAUUUUCACCAGGGCAUCGAUGUAAGGAUAAAUCACUACAAGUCCUGACUGUGUGUGAUGAGGAAGAAGGCUAGAAAGAAGCUGAAGAAGAAGACGCAGUAAUUUCCUAGAUUUCACCUUGAGGACAAUGUGUCUUUUUGGGAGGAGAGUAAUGUUUGACCAAUGAAAAUUUAAAUGCAAUUAUAAAGAGGCAAGGGCACUUUAGUAAUCUUAGAGACGGAGACAGUUUAAUAAUUUUAUUAUUAAUUAGGGUUUAAAUAUAAAUAAAAAAUUAUGGAGUCACUUAGAAUUUAUUAGUGUUGUUUUGGUGCAUAAUUGAUUUUGAUACCAUUACGCCCUAUUAUUCCUUUGUUCAGCACGGAGUAAUUUUGUUUUCAUCCACACUUUGAUUGAAGCUCUGCCGGCGAAAGUGCUGACUACUAUUGCACGGACCUACGCUAUCUUUGACAACUUAAGACAUUUAUCCUAGGACAAUGUGACCUAUAGUGGCUGACAAAUGCCUGCUUUAUUUAAUUCUCAAGCACCUGUCAUCUGAGCAAUGUUAAAUCAAUUAAUUGUGCCUUUUUUAUUACCACAUAUCUUCUUUGGCCUUGAACCAUUCAUUUUUGCCAAGGGUUGACUCUUUUUCCUCAUGGUGAGCUGAAGCUGUAUACUGCUUUUGUGGAAUCUUGGCAUCCAACACUAAAUUAAGAUUUCAGCCUUCAAACUUAUAAUGCAAGAUAUUAGAUAGUGUUUGGGUGGCUCCUGAAUAGUGCCAAAAAGAAUGAGUCUUGGCCACCAUUGCUGAAUUUUGUUUAACCUUUAACACAAUGAUGACUUCAUCUUGCUACAUUUACAUAUAACAGAUUUCAUUAUCUUCUUAGGAUUUACUGGAGGGUCUGAAUCAACUGGAAGAAGGUUUGAAGGAUAAUACUAAGAGAUUGAGUUCUUUCGACAAGUACAUGCAAGAAGUCCUCCUUGGCCAUCUCGACUGGUCCCCCAUGCACAAAGAUUCCCUAUUCUGGGGUGAUAAUAUCACAAACUUUGAAGAAAAUGAUUUCCAGGUAUUUCUUUUCCCCAUGGACGGUGUUUCUAGUUUUUAUUUUUCAUUUUUUCUGCUUUAACCGCACUGAAUGACCCUGCUAAUAUCUGUAUCGUCUCGUUCAGCAUCAUUUUGUAUAAAUACCUACAAAGUUUCUGUAAUACUAAUGGAUAAUCUUCUCUCUCAGAUUCUAAGGGUCCUCUUAACAAUUUUGGAUACAUCCAGUGAUCCACGAGCUCUUGCUGUCGCUUGCUUUGAUCUCUCACAGUUUAUCCAGUACCAUCCAGCUGGGCGGGUCAUUGUGACAGACCUCAAAGCCAAGGAACGGGUGAUGAAAUUGAUGAACCAUGAGAAUACCGAGGUUACCAAGAGCGCCUUACUCUGCAUCCAAAGGCUUUUCCUAGGCGCAAAGUACGCGAGCUUUUUGCAGGCCUGAAUUCUCUUUCUAUGGGGUCCAGUAUUGUUUACAAAGGAAAUGCUUGUAAUGAUUUGAUUCCAGUUUGGCUGGUUAGGUUGUUUAUUUAUUUAUCAAUCAUUGGAGGAAUUUAUGAAUCAGGGGAACUCGUCUGUUGGAUUUUUUUAAGUACUGUGAAGAAUUAGUUGAUUUUUUACCAUAUUUUGGAAAUUUAUUUUGUUUGUGAGAUGAGGAAUAAAUUGAUACCAUCUGUACUGACCUUUGAUAUGAAAACUACUCGAGCGCAUGACAUAUAUCUGUUUUUGUUCAUUUCUGUAUCUUGCUGCUGACUGAAGCUGGAUUUUCAGGCUCGUUAUUAUCAUCUAUUCUUUUGAAGUUGCAAAAUGAAUUCUCAAUAUUUUCAGGGGAAAUGCUUAUAAUUAGCGCGGAAUUAAACAUUGAUUGUGUACUGUAUACUUCCAAAAGGCAAUUUAUUUCCAUUGAUUUGAGUAAACUAAAUCUCCGUGAUGGUAGCACUUUUUUAAUCACUUAUUAAAGAAUUCUUUGAAAAUUUGAUGAUUGUUGUUGAAAACAUUUACUAAUUGUAAAUGCGUUAAAAAUUAUUUGAUUCAUUUAGUAUCACUAAUAGUGAUUUAAUUUUUCAUCUUGAUUGAACGAUGAAUUUUGUAUUAAUCCGGAAAAGUGCUACUGUUACUCCAACCACGCGUCGCUUAAAGGUUCAUGUAAUUUGAGACGACUUGUCGUCUAUGUUUUAUUCCGGACCGGUUCACGCAAACUUUAAAGCUUUCGAGUACUCGCGGAGCGGCGAUCGCUAAUCCCUCAAAAGAAGACACACAAGGAAUGGAGACUGAGAAAGUAAAGGAGAAGGAGAAGGAGAAAGUGUGCAAGAGGUGUAAGCAAACGUACACAGCUUCAUCAAACAGCUCUUCUUCUUGCCGCUUUCACCCUUCCUUCUUCGUUUGCCGUCGUCACGACGACCAGAAAAGGUACCCACCCCACUCCCUCUUUUGAUCAUCAUUUCGCAUACACUUUUCUUCAAUUUAUUUUUUUUUAAUUUUUUUCUCAUGUACCCUUGUGAUUCUUUUGCAUUCUUUAUUGGAUGUUAUUAAUUAUUAUUAAAAAAAUUCUAAAAAAUAAAUAAAAUUCACGGCAGCUAGGAGUUGAAUGAAACUCUGAGGCCAGUCCAGUUUGGUAGGAUUCUUUGAUUUACAAAGCAUCGAGUAAUCAGAUUUGCUGGGCAUUCAUUUUGCUUUGUUAUUUUUCCAUGUAUCAAUUUUCAGUUCAUAAUUUGUGUCUGAGUGUGAGUGCACAAAUUUUGAUCUGUAACUAAUUAAUGGAUAUCAUUGUUUAAAAUGUGAAAAAUUUAGUUUAUUCUAUGCUAGUUUUUCAUAACAUGAGUUGGACUGAGCUCAGUCAGUUGAUGCUCCAUGUUUUUGAUUCAUUGAAGGUACUAUGAAUUGGGACCUGAUGAUCCGCCAUAUGCUGCCAAGUUUUACGACUGCUGCGGGGCCGAGGAUGCUGAUGCCUCUGGUUGUACCACUGGCUUCCAUGUCUCUUAUGAUGAUGAUUAACAUAAUUUUUACCUCCUAAUCACCUGUAACUAUAGAUUAAAUUUGUAGAUAUCUCCGUGUCUCCUCCUGUGACCCACAUCAUUUCCACUGUUCUACCACUGUAUAAUUCAGGCCUUUCAUCAGUUUAUCUCUUCAUUUCUCAACAUUUUUCUUUUUUUUUUUUUCCUGGGGUUGAUCUGGCAUGAAUUCGACAUGUGCUGCUAUGGCCAACUUUCGAGGGAUGAUGGUAAAUCUAAACCCUUUUCCAUAAACUUCUGCAAUUAGUUGGUCUAGGGCAUUUGAAGAGCUUAUACUGGAAGCCAUUGCCUUCCCACAUCUUAAGUAAAGAGUAAUGCUACUUUGACAGAAAUAGGUUUACAAAAUUUUGACAUACUUAUGAAAUACUAAAUUACCUUUUAGUUUAUUUACAGAUAGCGAAUUGGGCUUUUUACAUAUUUUUGUAAGAAUCAACCUAAACUUAUAUUCAGGAAAGAAAUAACUGCAGAGGAGAAAAAAGUAAUGAGGCGAUAGAAAAUUAUGCCAAAAUUAAUAGUAAGGCAUUUGAGAUUGCAGUAGAACUUCUCAAUAAUCAUAUUAUUAGGAUCAAUUGAUUUUGUUACUAUAAGGAGGUUAAAACUUUGUAGAGGUUUAGUUCAAAAUUACUAUCUUGACUUCAUUAUUCUUAGUGUAAGUAAGAUAAUUAAUAAAUAAUUAAUGAAGUGUGUCAAUUCUAUGAAGCUUCAAACAUGCUUGAAUACUUAAAAAUAUUUUGUCUUCAACAAGAAGGUGUGUAUAUUAUUGAAUUAUUUUUGCAAUAUACAAAUAAUUAUUAUUAUGUGGAGGCAAUUUCAAAGAUGUGAUAACAAUUUUAAAGAAUAAAUCAUUGUCUCAAACAAUUUUAAAAAAUAUUUUUUUCUAUACUAAAUCUUUUAAAGUAACAAAUAUGUUUUGCAAUACACAUAUAAUUAUUAUUAUGUGGAGAUAAGUUACUAAAGUCAGAAUCUAAAACACUUAUUACAAUUAGAGUUAAUUCUUAUUUAUAAUUUACUUAAAUUAAAGUUAAAAUUUUUUUAUCACUAUAAAAGAGUUAUUUCUAUAUAGAUAAUCACUAUAAAUAUAGAGUAUCACUAUAAAAAAGUUUUACGAUCAAUCAUCCGUCAUAAUAAGCACAAGAAUGACAAGUUUUGAGUCUCAAAUAAAUUCUUAUAAAACACAACCAUGGAUUAAGAUUGUCGGGAAAUGGGAAUGCAAUACAAAGUAAUUAAUGACACAGUCACAGUGUUUCACUUACACGUGAAGCAAACGAAACAAGAAGAAUCUUAAGAAAAAAACACUCACCGGAACGCAAGGUUCAAUCCCGGUUUACUACGUCAACCUCCGUUGGAAACAGAGACGAAAAGCAUUUUGAGUGGCUUCAUCCUCCCAUUGAAGCCUUCUCCACCAGUAUUCACCUCCACGAAUAAGAAUUCUGCGCCCAUUUGCACUAUUUGAAUCGAGUGGAAGCUUUUUAAGCGAAUCGCAAACCCAAACUUGCAAUACUUUCAGACGUGGGAGAGGCAAGGGCUUCCAGUAAAUGCUCUUCAAACGGACCAGUCCUCCUAACUCAAGACGCUGGAGUUUUGCAAAAGGGCUGUUUAUUAUUCCCGUCAUCUCAGGAAUGUCAUCAAACUCUCCAGCACUGAUUAUUUCUUCCAUGUCAUCGCAAUAGCUUACGGAAAUAGACUUGAGGUUUGGAGCAAAAACGAGGAAUGUCAAGUGUUUCAAAUUUCUGCAAAAGCGUACGGUAACUUUCUCAAGGCUGCGGAAAACAUAAGGUUGGCGCGAUUUUUGUACCAUAUCAUUGCAGUCAAUCUUCAGUCCCUUAAUACAACCACAACUAAAAAAGUCUAAUGUAUUGAGCUGCUCUAGAUCGGCUAAAUCUGCAACAUCGAUCGACUCCUCCCUAUCGAAGCGAUGGAGCAAGAGAGCUUGAGUACAACUUCGUAACUUCUGUGAGCUCAAAAAUGUUUGGUAAGCCUCAAAACUCCUGAAGGAGAUCUCCAGUACCUCUAAAUAUUUCAAACCGAGCAAUUCCUCUGCUACAUUCUCAUGCCAAGAGCUAAGUAAAAAACCAGUAGCAAACAUUCUCAACACACGUAACCUUGAAAAAUUAGAUAACAGUUGCUGUGGAACUACAACUAACUCUUUUGCCCAGACCAAAUUCAAACAUUUAAGAUUUACCAACGCUUUUAACUCUUCGGGUAACUCUGUAACGCUUGUAUUUGAAAUAUCAAGGAGUUGUAGUGAAACCAACUUUGAGAUCCCCAUUGGUAACUGCCGUAGCGUUUCAUUAUCUGACAUCUUCAAAACUGUUAGACAAGACAUAGACUGGAAGAAGCCACCGGUGAUCGUCCUCAACGGAUUACGGUUAAGAAACAAAGUAAGAAGAUGAGGGCAUGUCGGAACAGUUGGUAGAUUAUCAAUUGAAUUUCUCAUCAAUGAUAAUCUUCUCACAAUUUCCCAUCCUCUGACAUCUGCCUCCCUUAAUCCGGAACCUGCAUAAACCAAAAAGCCCUCCUUCUCCUUCUCAAUCUCACAAGUUAUCCACAAUGCCAUAUCGCGGACGACGUCAUGCAUUUUUACUUGAUCAUCUUCUACCUCUUCCAAUAAACAUGCAUGAACAAGAGUGCCCACGAUAUAGUAUCCUCGGUUUUGUGUGCCAAACUUGUCUUCUUCCAAAAACCCCUCGCACAUCCAGCAAUCAAUCAAGUCUCUUUUAUCUAUGCCGUAAUCUUCCGGAUAUAAACAACAAUAUAAGAAACAAGAUCUGAUUGCAUCGCUUGGCAAGCAAUCAUAGCUGAAUUUUAAAAGAGGAUAUACCUCCUUUCCCAAACCUGCAAAUUCGGAAGCUGAUCUUCUUAAAACUUCAAUCGCAUAUCUCCAUUCUUCAGGAGUCUUUUUGUAGGCCAUGGCUCGACCAAUAGUAAUAAGCGCGAGCGGCAACCCACCGCACUCCUUUGCCACAGUUUGAGCUAGUUCAGGAAUACUAUGAUGACUCUCAAUAGUUUCUUCCCCAACUUUCUCUCGAAAUAGCUCCCAAGCAUCCUCAUCGGAUAAGCAUGCCACUUUGAACUUCCUUCGAGCUUCCAUACCGCCACAAACAUCAACGAAACGGGUUGUAAAUACUACUGCACUAUUCUUUGGAAGAGGGACACCAAUCUUCUUUAGAUCAACCCGCUCCCAUAGAUCAUCCAACAACAAAGCAAACUUCUUCUUGCUUAAAGUCUUGAAGAUGUCCUGAGCUUUCUCUUCGAGACUUUUGUCCUUCCAUGAAUCAGUAUAUAGACCUAUCUUUUUCCCGAUAGUUUCUUGAAUUUUUUCAAGCCGAAGGUCUUUGGACACCACAACCCAAAUCACAUAAUCAAAAUCUGUUGGAUUAUCAACAAAUUUAUUAUUGAUUUGGGUUAACAGUGUAGUUUUACCGACACCGCCCAUGCCGUAUAGGCCAAUUAUACCAGCUGCAGGUUCUUGUACAAGACAUCUCCAAACUUGUUCAAGUUGUGAUUGCAAGCCUACCACCGUUGGCUCAGUAGGUCUUUCAUCUGCCGCAGAUAUUAAUUCUGGAUCUGGCGCGGCCACCUCUUCAAAAACUCCUUCGCCCUUUAAGGCCUUCACAUCUCGCAGCCUUUUAACAACUUUUCUACCAAACUUGUAGCUUGACUUGCAGUUCCUGGAGCAGUAGCCUCCAAGACACAAUUUGUCAAUUUCCUGAGAGCCACCAUCUCUUCCCAUGAGUUCAUCAACUUCAGUUUUAAGAGUCUCCACCCUCGAAAGCCAAACCUGCACUUGGUUCAGCCUCUUCAUUUUGUGUUGGUGUUCGGCAUUGAGGACCCUCGUCAUCACAUCGUUCUUUGCAGCCAUUAGUUGUUCCAAUUCAGUCGUCAAGGCAACAACAUUAUCUUUGAGGUCAGUUAUAUAUGCAGCUUUGCCAAGAGCGCAGUCUGGGCAACGAUUGAACAUUGCGCCAACAUCGCAAGAGAUUUGCAAAAUGUUACCCAUAAUGGAUCUCACUUGUAUGUAUGAAUUCAACCAAGAGAGAAACAAAGGAAUUUAACUUCACCAGUUUGAUGAACAGAAGCUGCUGUCGCGGAUUAAUUGAGAAUUUGAGAUAGAACAUUAGUUAUUGAAUAAUGUAAUCGGCUCUGUUUGUACCCAACUUACUAAAAAAGUAACAAAAAGGAAAAUUUUGAAAGGUGGAAUGCAGCUGGCAAAGGAAAAAUCAAAGGGCAUGCUUCCCACGUCAAGAUGGUGGUGGUGGUCACCAUCUUUGUGUUUCCUUGACCUUAUCCAAUAUUCAUCAUUUUUGGUCCCACACCAUGUGCUUGACAGUUGUUUCGAUUUUAUCUCUUUUUAUUCCCCCUUUCUUUGUUUCUUUCUUUCUUUCUUUCUUUCAGAUCAGCAUUUUUGUCUUGGUGUGGGCAUAUAAUAUAUAGUACUUAGAUUUUGUUUAAUUUUCUAUUGUUAACUUGAUUAUUUGUGGCAUUAAUUUAAUAUGAUUUACAUCUUUUUGGUUGUAGUGUUGAUGAGGUUCCUUUAUAUGAUGACCCAAUUUUUAUUUUUUUUUGGUCUUCAUUUGUUUAAUUAUGAGAAAAAUAAAAUAGUAAUUAGAUUGGUCAAUUCGGGUAAACAAUUACUGAACUAAUGGAGUAUAUCUCAAUCUCACUCCCCUAGCAUAUCAUAAAUUUCUAAAAUUUGUCUUCAAUCGAUUAAACAUAAAUUUCAAAAUUCUUUAAAAAAAAAUUCGCCAGUACCAAUCCUUUAAAACAUCCAAAAGGGAAACAAAAAAAAAAAAAAAAAACAAACUCAUUUAUGGGCAUAUGGUAAAAGCAUAGUUUGAUUAAAGCUGGGACAUGACAUGUGGUAGACAUGUGGAUCGAUUGCAUAUGUUAUUUGAGUCGUUGUAUCAUCGGCUUCACAUUAUUAAUAAGUUUUUUUCCCCAAAUUCUUCUAAGAAUUAUGCGUAUAUUUUUUAGCAUAAUUGUUGGCUGAUCAGAAACUCUCGAAAGCUGGCCUAUAAUUUAGAUUAAACCAACAAUUAACAUGAGAAGUUAGGCUGGCAGGACAAUGGGAACCAACUCAAAUCUGGUUCCAUUAGCAAGCAGCAGCCAAAUUCCGAGAUUUUCAACAAUUUUGAACCAAUCCCAAAGGGAGAUUUAGUUGAGUAUACAAGAUUUCUCUUUGUCACUAGCCGUGCAUGCCGCUUCUUAAUAAUUAAGAUCUACAUAAAUGACUUUUAAUUUUGUAUGAUGAUCUCUUCCUCUUUGGAACAGAUACUCAAAUUUUAUUCAUCGUGACUGUGCUGAUCAAAACCGAUAUUAACCAAUCUUGUAUUCAAGUACACUCAACCAAUUCUGUUUUCUUACUGAAUUGUUUAUAAAUAAAGAACUAUAAUUACCUCCAAAAGCAAACAAAUAAUAAUCAAUAUGUUAUAUUUUUUUCAUUGAUUUUUUCCCCUUUAAAUAAUGGAGUCCAUAGUGUAGUUCUGACUGGCACAUGUACUGAGAUAUGAAAGUUAAUGUACAAAAUGGAAGAAUAAUAAUAUUCUGUCCGAAAUUAUUAAUUCUCAGGUGCAACCUAAAUUUAGAUGUAUCGUUAAAGGAGUAAAAAAAAAAAAAAGAGUCAAUCAUUGAUAGAGCUUCAAGAACUUUGAGAUUUUAUUAGUUUAUUUUAUUAAGAAAAUUAUCAUUUGUAUACCCUUAGUUUAUUUCAUUAUAAAAAAUACUACAAUACUUUGAGGGUGUAUCAAUCGUCCACCCAAAAUUGAUAAAAUGUAUCAACUGACUACCAAAUCGUUAGUUGCCGUUUAAAUAUGAUGACACUAGGAGGGCAAUUUGGUCUUUUCAUAUGAUACAAGUGAUAAUUUAAGGGUAUACAAGUGACAAAAAGAGAAAUUAAGGGUAUACAAGUGAUAAUUUUUAAGGGUAAAAUCAUCAAUUCACUGUAAUUCUGUUAACUUUCAAACGACAACUAAUGGUUUGGUGGUCGGCUGAUACAUUUUGUCAACUAAGGGUAGACGAUUGAUACACCCUCAAAGUGUUGUAGUAUUUUUAAUAAUAGAAUAAAUAUAGGGUAUACGAAUGAUAAUUUCCCAUUUUAUUAUUAGUAUUUGGCUUUUUUCGCUUGCACGAUAGUCGCAACAAAUAGAUUCUUGAAAAUCAUAUGAGAAAGACAAGCAGCCCAAAAAUAAAGUGCCUAUAUCUUUAAAUUUAUUAAUUUUUAUUUUUUAAAAAAAAAUUGCUCUACCUUUUUUUUUUCAAAACCUUAACUAAAAUACUAAAAUUGCAAAAAUUAGGGACCUGUUCAGGAUGAUAUUUUGAGUCCCAUUUUCAUUUUCAUUUACUAAAAAUAAGUUGAACAACUGUUCAGUGUAAUGUUUUAAUAAAAUGAAUUAUGAAAUAAAAAAUACAUAUUUUACUUUUGUUUACUCAAAAAGUUGAAGAACGACCUUUUUAUGGUUUUGUUGAAUUUCAAGAAUGGAAGUCAUUCUCUCAUCUUUAUCUUAGUUUAGCGUCCAUGGUAAUUAAAGUGAUUUUUGUAUCAAAUUGAUAAGAUUGAAACAUCCAAUGCUGCAAUGGCUUUUGUGAUUAUUUUAAAUUUGAAAUUAAAAUUUGAUAAAACUAAUAAGUUUUAUUGAGCAGAAGAUGAGUGGAAGGACUUUUUCUUUGAUUUUUAGCCGAACAAAAAGAUAAAAUAAAAUGUUCAAGGACUUAUAAAAAAAAAAAAAAAAGUCCUCAUAUUUUGCUUGUACCAAUGAAACAGUAGUUGUGAAAAAGGAUUAAAAUAAUUAAAAUAAUUUUUUCAAAUGAGAUUUUUCUCUAUACUUUAUCAUACCUUUUAUUUGAAAAUCUUUUUUCGUAAAUAAGUUUAUGAUUUCAUUUAUCAGAUGCUCUAUAAUAUAUUUUAUUUACCGAAAUUUUUUAUUAUUAAAUGUAAUGAAGAAUUUAAUUUUUUUAUAAGUGUUUACUGUGUGAUACCAAAAAAUAAAUUGACUCUAUAUAAUUCAUUGACAUAAAUAUAAACUAUAUGUUUAAGGUAAAAAAAAAGUUUCAAUCCAAUGCUAUCGAACAAAUAUUACAGUUUUUAUAUUUAAAAUAUAAGUUUCAAAAACUCAUACCGAACACAUACUUAUAGUCUUAUAUUUAGAAUACUGGUUUCAAAAACAUCAUUUUGAUUUUUAUUUUUGUUCUAUAAAAACAUCGAUUGACAAUAACAAAGACAAAUAAUUGAAAAUUUUAAUAAGAAUUAAUCUAACUACUCUCUUUAAAAGGAAAAAAAAUAUCUAACUACACUCACUUUCUAAAAAUAUAAAUACAUAUAAUUACACUAAAACCCGUAUAAAUUUUUAUUUUAUCAAGUAAUUAUGUGAUUAAUAUUUAUUUAUAAAAUAAAUAUUAAUUUUAUAAUCUCAACUCAAUGGUCAUAUCAAGAGCAUAUUUAAUUAUUUUAUUUUUAAUCUACAAUUGAGACGUCACACCCUAGAGUUAAAGCGGCUUUUAUCAUUUUGUUUUUUUUUAUUUAAUUUCUAUUUUUAAAAUAAUUUUAGACCCUGUGAGCAUCCAACGAAUGAUUUGCCAGUUUGGAGGAGUCCAUGCAUAUGGGGGCCCACUAGUCGUUUGACGAUUGAUUACGUCACGUGAUUCCUGCCACAUACGAUUUUUAUUGAUUAUCCACUCUUUACCCCUUUUUUUUAUUUAAUAAAUAAUCCUCUUUACCCAACUAGUCAGGCUUUUCUCGAGUGGCCAACGGUUCAAGCUUAGGGAUGGUAAUUGUACUCGUAAAUCUGUAAAUUUGUCUAAAUUCAUCUGUCAAAAUUCGUCCGUUGUGGGUAAUUUUAUUAGUUGCGGGCGGGUUUAAUAUUAUAAAUUAAAACCCGCACAUGAAUGGGGGUGGGUUUGAUAUUAAUCUUAUAUCCGGUGGAUACCCGCAUGGAUAUCCAUUAAACCCGCAAUAUUUUUUUCAAAUAUUUUUAAUUUAAUUUAAAUCUAAAAAUGUAUAAAGAAAAUAAUGUCAUUAAUUAAAUUACCAAAUAACCAAAGGCUCAAAGUUGUGUAUGUGUGUAUGUGUGUAUGUGGCCUAUAUCAUAUUCUAAAAUCAUAAUCUAAAGAAAACUAAAGGCAUUUUCCUUCGAAUUAAUAUUUGAAAAUAUUAAUCUUAAUUAUUAUUAUAGGCAUUGUGUUGGAUGGGUGCUUAUGGUGGUGAAUAAAAUGAAUAUCUUCUCUUGGAGCUUGUUUUAAAUGAUAAUAUGAAAUGUAAUUAUUAUUUUUAGAUAUUAGUUUGUGUUUUUUAAAUGGAUUUGUGUAAUUUAUACUUAAAUUUGAGAAUUUAUGUUGAAUUGAUGUGGAAAUUUUAAUUUUUCAUUUACAUUAUUUAAAUAUAAAAUUGAGUAUGUUAUAUGGAAUUUGAGGUUAUUAUUAUAAAUUUAUAUAUUAAACAUUUGUGAUUUUAAAUACGGAAACCCGCAAAAAAUCCGCCGGAUACCAUUGCGGGUUUGGUAAUUGUUAAAACCCGCUGCGGGUGGGUUUUUGUAAAAAAAUUAAAACCCGCUGCGGGUUACCGGUGGGUUUGGUAGUUUAAAUUUUGUGCGGGUUUGGGUUUGGUAAUGGCAAACCCGCUACGGGCAGUGCCCAUUGCCAUCCCUAUUCAAGCCCCGGGAUGUAUAUAGAGAUUUUCUUUUAAUUAUGCUAUAUAAUUAAGUGAAUGCUGUGUUUUAUCUUUUGAAAAAUGAGUAGAAUAAAUAUUCUUUGAAUAGUGAUAAAUUAAUUUCAAUAAUUGACUGAUUGUAAAUAUUAGUUGUAAUUUCAUACAAUAUGAGUUGUAAUUUGAGUGUUAAUAUCAUGUAAUUAAAAAUAAAAAAUAAUCUUCUUUACUCAUUUCACUUCCAAUUUCAUGUUGAUGCCCUUACAUUAUUGAUUUAUCUAUAUUUUUUUUAUUUUACACAUUUUUUUUGGACUCUUCCUUUUGCUUUUUCUUUUUCCUCAGCUAUAAUGUUCCCAAAUUUAAUAGAGAAACAAAGCUAUAAAUGAUCAAUUUAUUAGUUUGAUAAUUUACAAACUCGCAAUAGAUGAUACUCAUUUUCAUCCCUAGAUGAAUGCAACAUGGUCGCGGACAGAAUACAUCGAGGCUCGGAAAGAACGUUGGCCUAAGGCAUUUUUAGAAAGAUUAGGGAUUUAACUGAAAUUCAAUUCCUUUAAAAUGUGAAGUUUACGUUUUGCACCCUUUGAAUUUACAGUUUCUUAUUUAUGGCAUCUCAAUUUGGCUUCUCUCGAAUAUGGUCCACGUUAAACCAAAAUUAUAAUUGCACCACUAAAUGUGAUAGAGAUGAAAAAAUAUUUGAAGUGGAAAGUUUGUGAGUUUCUAUAUUUUUUUAAGGAUAUAUUUUAAGUAUUAUAUAGAUAAAAAUUAACUAUCUACCUAAGUAAUCAAGCGAGCAAUUUACACUUCAGACCUCUUUUACAUCAACGAUUUAUGUUUGGCAGACUCAAUUUGUCAAUAACUAGAUAUAUGUUAUUACAGACUCAAUUUGGGGCAUAUUCUAGGGUAAGGAAACUGAAAAUACCUAUUUUCGAAGUUGAGGAUGCCUAUGAAUGAGUGUAUAGGGUAGAGCGCUAUUUCUCCAUCAAUGGACUCUAAGAAAGGGAAAAAUUGAUGGCGGCGGCGUUAUGUUUGGAGGGAAAGGCCCUUGUGCGGUUUCAAUGGCGAGAACAACGACAUCGUUAAGGUCAUGAGGUGAGUCUAAGGAUUGGCUAUUGGAUAGGUUUCGGGCCACUCAAGAAGGAGAUUUGUAUGAAUAGUUUUUUACUCUGACCUAGGAUAGAACGGUUAUAGUUUGAGUUGCUAUCAGGGCGUCGAAGGGGAAUUCCAUAGGCGGUAUUGGAAGGGAAUUUUAUGAAGGGACUGAAGUCAGAAAUCCGAGCCUUACUAUGCUUGAUAAGGCCGAGAGGGUUAGGGGAGUCAAUGGAGUUGGCACAAAUGGCUAAGGAUAAGAACACAAUAGAACAGGUUAAUAGGAGCAAUUCAAUCGAUUUUUCAUACCAAAACAGCAUGCCAUUGGUAGGAUAGAAAACCCAGACUUUAGGGUUUAAACGAGAGUUCCAAAGUACACCACUGGGAGGCCAGAAAAUGCAAAUGGUGGAUUUAAAGAGAGAUUCCCAAAGGGAUCGGGAUAGUGGGGCACGACAUGGGGUGACUUUCAAACGUCUCAUGGAGACAGAGAUUCAGGAUAAGAGGGUGAAGGGGUUGUGUUUUUGAUGUAAUGAGAAAUUUUCACGAGGGCAUCGAUGUAAGGAUAAAUCACUACAAGUCCUAACUGUGUGUGAUGAGGAAGAAGGCCGGGAAGAAGCCGAGGAAGAAGACGCAGUAGUUUCCAAGAUUUCACCUUGAGGACGAGGUGUCUUUUUGAGAGGGGAGUAAUGUUAGACCAAAGAAAACUAAGGUGCAAUUACAAGGAGGCAGGGGCACUUUAGUAAUCUUAAGGGCAGAGACAGUUUAAUAAUUUUAUUAUUAAUUAGGGUUCAGGUAUAAAUAAGAGAUUAUGGAGUCACUUAAGAUUUAUGUUGGGUUUUGUCUAGUGUUAAGAAUAAUUAAGAGUUUGGGAGAGAUUGACUUACCUCUUGUAGGUCAAGAUUGUUAUUUAUUUUUAUCAAUCAAUAAAAAAUCAACCCUAAUUUAACUCUAAGUCAUAUCAUAACGGAAUUUGUGUUAUUGACCUCUUCUUUUUUCCCUUUUCCUUCUUCUUGUAACAACUUCUUUACGAAACAUGUCUCUGCGUCUGGCUCUUGUCUUACUAUGAACCUGCAGUGGAGUACUUGGCAACUAAUAGAACCCUACCACGACUAAUAGAUGUUGUUAAGAGUUCCACAAAGGAGAAUGUGAGAUCUGGUUUCUUGGUAGUAUUUAAUGUUAGCAAAGGCUCACUGCUGCACAAGAUGAGUGUCAUCCACUUGAAUACUAUUAACUUGUUAUACAUACGUAUAUUUAAAUAUAUUUAUAUUGGCUUGUGGUAGAAAUACGCUAUUUUCUUAUCCAAAAGAAUACGUUCUUUUGUUCAUAUGGUUAUUAAGAUAGGCAUAUCCUGCUAGGUUGUCAGGGUGGUGGUCUUGAUCCUUAGAAACUUGCUUCCCAAAGGUAAUUUUGCUGCUCAGAUGAUAGACCUUGGACUACCUCAAGUUGUUCAAAGUUUAAAAGCACAAGCAUGGAGUGAUGAGGUAAGAGAAGUUGCUCGCUGUUUAGUUUUUCUUUUUCGGCUGAUUGCAUAAUUAUUUAGUUAAUAGAUCGAGUAAAAUUAAGGGAGUUGAUGGCGCUGUUUGCUACUGAUUGGUGCAUUUGGUGAUCAUUUUAUAUGGAUUUAAAAUUUACUUCAGCUUCUGUGAAGUAUGGUGUGGUAGAAUAGUCAGUUGCUUGUGUGAUGACAAAAACUACUGUUAUUUUGUUCAUUAUAUGAAUAUUAGUGUUAUUUUGGUGAUAAUUGAUGAUAGAAGGUAUGCUUAUCAGAGUCUUUUUACCCCAUACUUGGGAUCGGCUAGUCAAUUAUGAUUAUGAUACCGUUACACCCUAUUAUUCCUUUGUUCAGCAUGGAAUAAUGUUGUUUCCAUCUACACUUUGAUUGAAGCUCUGGCUGGCAGAAAGUGCUGACUACUAUUGUACGGACCUACACUAUCUUUGACAACUUGAGACAUUUAUCCUACGACAAUGUUACCUAUAAUGGCUGACAAAUGCCUGCUUUAUUUAAUUCUCAAGCACCUGUCAUCUGAGCAAUGUUAAAUCAAUUAAUUGUGCCUUUUUUAUUACCACAUAUUUUCUUUGGCCUUGAACCAUCCAAUUUUGCCAAGGCUCGACUCUUUUUCCUCAUGAUGAACUGAAGCUGUAUAUUGCUUUUGUGGAAUCUUGGCAUCCAACACUAAAUUAAGAUUUCAGCCUUCAAACUUAUAAUGCAAGAUAUUAGAUUGUGUUUGGGUGGCUCCUGAAUAGUGCCAAAAAGAAUGAGUCUUGGCCACCAUUGCUGAAUUUUGUUUAACCUUUAACACAAUGAUGACUUCAUCUUGCUACAUUUACAUAUAAUAGAUUUCAUUAUCUUCUUAGGAUUUACUGGAGGGUCUGAAUCAACUGGAAGAAGGUUUGAAGGAUAAUACUAAGAGAUUGAGUUCUUUGGACAAGUACAUGCAAGAAGUCCUCCUUGGCCAUCUCGACUGGUCCCCCAUGCACAAAGAUCCCCUAUUCUGGCGUGAUAAUAUCACAAACUUCGAAGAAAAUGAUUUCCAGGUAUUUCUUUUCCCCAUGGACGGUGUUUCUAGUUUUUAUUUUCAUUUUUUCUGCCUUAACUUCACUGAAUGACUCCUGCUAAUAUCUGUAUCGUCUCGUUCAGCAUCAUUUUGUAACUAAUGGAUAAUCUUCUCUCACAGAUUCUAAGGGUCCUCUUAACAAUUUUGGAUACAUCCAGUGAUCCACGAGCUCUUGCUGUCGCUUGCUUUGAUCUCUCACAGUUUAUCCAGUACCAUCCAGCUGGGCGGGUCAUUGUGACGGACCUCAAAGCCAAGGAACGGGUGAUGAAAUUGAUGAACCAUGAGAACACCGAGGUUACCAAGAGCGCCUUACUCUGCAUCCAAAGGCUUUUCCUAGGCGCAAAGUACGCGAGCUUUUUGCAGGCCUGAAUUCUCUUUCUAUGGGGUCCCGUAUUGUUUACAAAGGAAAUGCUUGUAAUGAUUUGAUUCCAGUUUGGCUGUGGUUAGGUUGUUUAUUUAUUUAUCAAUCAUUGGAGGAAUUUAUGAAUCAGGGGAACUCGUCUGUUGGAUUCUUUUAAGUACUGUGAAGAAUUAGUUGAUUUUUUACCAUAUUUUGGAAAUUUAUUUUGUUUUUGAGAUGAGGAAUGAAUUGAUACCAUCUGUACUGACCUUUGAUAUGAAAACUACUCGAGCGCAUGACAUAUAUCUGUUUUUGUUCAUUUCUGUAUCUUGCUGCUGACUGAAGCUGGAUUUUCAGGCUCGUUAUUAUCAUCUAUUCUUUUGAAGUUGCAAAAUGAAUUCUCAAUAUUUUCAGGGGAAAUGCUUAUAAUUAGCGCGGAAUUAAACAUUGGUUGUGAACUGUAUACUUCCAAAAGGCAAUUUAUUUCCAUUGAUUUGAGUAAACUAAAUCUCCGUGAUGGUAUCACUUAUUUAAUCACUUAUUAAAGAAUUCUGUGAAAAUUUGAUGAUUGCUGUUGAAAACAUUUACUAAUUGUAAAUGCGUUAAAAAUUUAUACAAUAUUGAGAAUUCAAACAGCUCCAUGUCUCCUCCAUUGACACACAUCAUUCCCCACUGUUCUACCAUUAUAUAAUUCAGGUCUUUCAUCAGUUUAUCUCCUCAAUUUUGAACAUUUAUUAUUAUUAUUAUUAUUUUUUCCUGGGGUUGAUCUGGCAUGAAUCAGACAAGUGCUGCUAUGGCCAAACUUUCCCGGGAUGGUAAAUCUCAACCCUUUUGCAGAACUCUUAACUUCUGAAAUUAGUAGGUCUAUGAAAUUUGAAGAGCAUAUGCUGGAAGCCAUUGCCUUCCCACAUCUGAAGUAAAGAGUAAUGCUACUUUGACAGAAAUUGGUUUACAAAAUUUUGACAAACUUAUGAAAGACUAAAUUACCUUUCAGUUUAUUUACAAAUUGCGGAUGAUAAUAAAACAGGGGAUGAUGAUUUAGGGUUUUACAUAUUUUUGUCAAACUGCUAGACAACUAAGCUAAAAUUAUCAAUUUUAUGUUGUGUUAGUAAAUAAUCAAUAAUGAUUUUUGCAAUACGAAAUAAUUAAUAUUUUGUUUAGGCAAUUUUAAAAAUGUGAUAACAAUUUUAAAGAAUAAAUAAUUAUCUCAAAUAACUAAAAAAAAUAUAUUAAAUCCUUAAAUUAACAAAUAUAUUUUUGUAAAAAACUUAUAAAUAUUUUUAUGUGGAGCCAAGUUAUUUAAGUUGGGAACUAAAAAUUUUAUUAUAAUAUAAAGUUUAUUCUUAUUUAUAAUUUGUCCAAAUUAAAGUUAAAUUUUUUUUAUAACUAUGAAAGAGUUAUUUCUAUAUAGAUUAUCACUAUAAAUAUAGAGUCACUAUAAAAAAGAUUUUACGAUAUUGAUUCAUAAUCAAUCAUCCCUCAUAAUAAGCACAAGAAUGACAAGUUUUGAGUCUCAAAUAAAUUCAACCACUUACACGUGAAGCAAACGAAACAAGAAGAAUCUUAAGAAAAAAACACUCACCAGCAUGCAAGGUUCAAUCCGGGCUUAGCCCCUCUAACCACAGUUCGUCAAGAGAUUGGAAACAGAGACGAAAAGCAUUUUGAGUGGCUUCAUCCUUCCAUUGAAGCCCUCUCCACCAGUAUUCACCUCCACGAAUAAGAAUUCUACGCCCAUUUGCACUAUUUGAAUCGAGUGGAAGCUUCUUAAGCGAAUCGCAACCCCGAAAUUCCAAUUCUUUCAGACGUGGGAGAGGCAAGGGCUUCCAGUAAAUGCUCUUCAAAUUGCGCAGUCGCUCUAACCGAAGACGCUGGAGUUUUGCAAAAGGGCUGCUUAUUAUUCCCGUCAUCUCAGGAAUGUCAUCAAACUCUCCAGCACUGAUUAUUUCUUCCAUGUCAUUGCAAUAGCGUACGGAAAUAGACUUGAGGUUUGGAGCAAAAACGAGGAAUGUCAAGUGUUUCAAAUUUCUGCAACUGUCUACGGUAACUUCCUCAAGGCUGCGGAAAACAUAAGGUUGGCGCGAUUUUUGUACCAUAUCUUUGUAGUCAAUCCUCAGUCCCCCAGGCCAAUCACAACCAACAAAGGAUAAUGUAUUGAGCUGCUCUAGAUCUGCUAAAUCUGCAACAUCGAUCGACUCCUCCCUAUCGAACUCAUCGAGCAAGAGAGCUUGGGUACAACUUCGUAACUUCUGUGAGCUCAAAAAUGUUUGGUAAGCCUUAAAACUCCUGAAGGUGAUCUCCAGUACCUCUAAAUAUUUCAAACCGAGCAAUUCCUCUGCUACAUUCUCAUGCCAAGAGCUAGACAGUCCGUAAGGUGAUCUAACACCAAUAGCAAACAUUCUCAACACACGUAACCUUGAAAAAUUAGAUAACAGUUGCUGUGGAACUACAACUAACUCUUUUGCCCAGUCCAAAUUCAAACAUUUAAGAUUUACCAACGCUUUUAACUCUUCUGGUAACUCUCCAACGCUUGUUUUUGAAAUAUCAAGGAGUUGUAGUGAAACCAACUUUGAGAUCCCCAUUGGUAACUGCCGUAGCGUUUCAUUAUCUGACAUCUUCAAAACUGUUAGACAAGACAUAGACUGGAAGAAGCCACCGGUGAUCGUCCUCAACGGAUUACGGUUAAGAAACAAAGUAAGAAGAUGAGGGCAUGUCGGAACAGUUGGUAGAUUAUCAAUUGAAUUUCUCAUCAAUGAUAAUCUUCUCACAAUUUCCCAUCCUCUGACAUCUGCAGGUGCCUCCCUUAAUCCGGAACCUGCAUAAACCAAAAAGCCCUCCUUCUCCUUCUCAAUCUCACAAGUUAUCCACAAUGCCAUAUCGCGGACGACGUCAUGCAUUUUCACUUGAUCAUCUUCUACCUCUUCCAAUAAACAUGCAUGAACAAGAGUGCCCACGAUAUAGUAUCCUCGGUUUUGUGUGCCAAACUUGUCUUCUUCCAAAAACCCCUCGCACAUCCAGCAAUCAAUCAAGUCUCUUUUAUCUAUGCCGUAAUCUUCCGGAUAUAAACAACAAUAUAAGAAACAAGAUCUGAUUGCAUCGCUUGGCAAGCAAUCAUAACUGAAUUUUAAAAGAGGAUAUACCUCCUUUCCCAAACCUGCAAAUUCGGAAACUGAUCUUCUUAAAACUUCAAUCGCAUAUCUCCAUUCUUCAGGAGUCUUUUUGUAGGCCAUGGCUCGACCAAUAGUAAUAAGCGCGAGCGGCAAUCCACCGCACUCCUUUGCCACAGUUUGAGCUAGUUGAGGAAUACUAUGAUGACUCUCAAUAGUUUCUUCCCCAACUUUCUCUCGAAAUAGCUCCCAAGCAUCCUCAUCGGAUAAGCAUUCCACUUUGAACUUCCUUCGAGCUUCCAUACCGCCACAAACAUCAACGAAACGGGUUGUAAAUACCACUGCACUAUUUUUUGGAAGAGGGACGCCUACCUUCUUUAGAUCAACCCGCUCCCAUAGAUCAUCCAACAACAAAGCAAACUUCUUCUUGCUUAAAGUCUUGAAGAUGUCCUGAGCUUUCUCUUCGAGACUUCUGUCCUUCCAUGAAUCAGUAUAUAGACCUAUCUUUUUCCCGAUAGUUUCUUGAAUUUUUUCAAGCUGCAGGUCUUUUGACACCACAACCCAAAUCACAGAAUCAAAAUCUGUUGGAUUAUCAACAAAUUUAUUAUUGAUUUGGGUUAACAGUGUAGUUUUACCGACACCGCCCAUGCCGUAUAGGCCAAUUAUACCAGCUGCAGGUUCUUGUACAAGACAUCUCCAAACUUGUUCAAGUUGUGAUUGCAAGCCUACCACCGUUGGCUCAGUAGGUCUUUCAUCUGCCACAGAUAUUAAUUCUGGAGCUGCCGCGGCCACCUCUUCAAAAACUCCUUCGCCCUUUAAGGCCUUCACAUCUCGCAGCAUUUUAGCAACUUUUCUACCAAACUUGUAGCUUGACUUGCAGUUCCUGGAGCAGUAGCCUCCAAGACACAAUUUGUCAAUUUCCUGAGAGACACCAUCUCUUCCCAUGAGUUCAUCAACUUCAGUUUUAAGAGUCUCCACCCUCGAAAGCCAAACCUGCACUUGGUUCAGCCUCUUCAUUUUGUGUUGGUGUUCAGAAUUGAGGACCCUCGUCAUCACAUCAUUCUUUGCAGCGAUUAGUUGUUCCAAUUCAGUCUCCAAGGCAACAACAUUAUCUUUGAGGUCAGUUAUAUAUGCAGCUUUGCCAAGAGUGCAGUCUAGGCAACGAUUGAACAUUGCGCCGUCGCAAGCGAUUUGCAAAAUGUUACCCAUAAUGUAUCUCACUUGUAUGUAUGAAUUCAACCAAGAGAGAAACAAAGAAAUUUAACUUAACCAGUUUGAUGAACAGAAGCUGCUGUCGCGGAUUAAUUGAGAUAGAACAUUAGUUAUUGAAUAAUGUAAUCACCUCUGUUUGCACCCUACUUGCUAAAAAAGUAACAAAAAGGAAAAUUUUAAAAGAACUAGGAAUGUCCAAUGCGUUUUAACAAAGUAUUCUAAACUUAAACUUGUAGCUUAGUUAAAGUAUUCUUGAAACUUGAGGAAAGAAUCCUGGUCGUUUUGCUUUGGUACAAGGGCUUUUUCACUCUUUUAUGUUUUUUGUUGGCGCUUGUAACUGAAUAUUAGAACUUUAAAGUGCCGCUGGGCGCUGGCGUUUAAAAACGAAUAAUUAUACUUUUCUGUCCAAAGUUUCGAGGGCUAAUCAUGAUAAUUGAGAAAUACUGGAAUACCAUAAUGUCUUCCCUACUCCUGGAGCACUAGUUGAUUCGGUGCUCUCCCAGCCAAUGAACAUGAGCCACAUCAUGCAUAAUUUUGUGCAGUUCAAGCGAAACAAAUUAUCCUAUUUAUUAUCAUAUGUAUGCUUCAAUCGAUGUAGUAAUAUUCAUACACACAUAACAAAUUAUCCUAUUUCGUAAUUCAAAAUUAACCAAAAUCUCGUGCUGAACAAAACCUAUAUCUCUAUUUUUUUUUCUUUUUCUUCCGAUUUUGUUGCACAAUGAUUUUCACCGGCCUAAAUUUUACUAAUUCUCAUGUAUACUUAAAUUUUUGGCCUUACAAAAUUGUAAAUUUUGCAAUUGCUCAGGGCCUUAUAUAACAUAAUUGCUUGCAUGAGUUUGACAUAUAAGCAAAAAUGUGAAGGAAGAAUGAGGUGCAAGAAGCAGUUCAAUCGGGUUUAUUUAGCAAGCCGCAGCCGAAUCCCAAUAUUCUCAACAAAGGAAGAAUGAGGUUGCAAGAAGCAGUUCAAUCGGGUUCAUUUAGCAAGCCGCAGCCUAAUCCCAAUAUUCUCAACAAUUUUGAACCAAUCCCAUAUGAUGGUAAUUAGUUUAAUAAACAAGACUUUUCUUUGUCAUUAACUGUGGAUGCCACAUAAUAAUUAAGAUUCACAUAAAUGACUUCCAAUUUUGUAUUACAUUCUCUUUCUAUUUGAAGUAGAUCCUCAAGUUGCACACUUGCACUCACUGUAACUGUGCUGAUCAAAACUGGCCUUGAAAAUUUUAUCAUUUUUUAAAAAGAAAAUUUAAAUUGAUAUAAUCUAAAUAUAUGCAGGAUCAUUAAAAAAUGUCCAUUAAUUCAAUAGUUUGAUUGUUGAGAUUAAGUGUGUGUGUGUGUAUAUACUAAAAGAUUUCUUUAAAAAUUUAAAGAUUAUAGUUAUAAACAUUUAUUAAUUACGAGUUUAAGAUUAUUUAAUUCAUAUAGUAUUAGUGCUAUAAACUUUCAUUUUCAUUAAAAGGAAUUUUAAAAAAUAGUUAAAUCUUGAUUAAACCUAAGAUGGUAUAGAUAAAUUUUCUGUUAAACGAUGUCGUUUGAAGUUUAAUAUAUUUAGCAGAUAUAGCUUGCUCAAACAGCUCCUCUUCAUGCCGCUUCCAAUGCUUUCUUCUUCAUUUGCCGUCGUCGCGACUACCAAAAAGGUACCCAUCCCUCUUUUGAUCGUCAUUUUGCAUACCCUUUUCUUCAAUCUGAUUCUUUCUCUUAGUGUUUUUUUUUUAAAUAAUAAUUUCAUAUACCCUUUUGAUUCUUUUGGAUUGUUUUUGUGGAUUCAUUUACUUUGUUAAUUUUCAUUUGGGUUGGUUAUUAUUGGAUGAUUUAGAAAUGCUAAUGUACUAUGGCAAUAAUCAGAUGCUGUUCAUUGUGCCAUUAGCCUGCUGCUGAUUAAGUUUUCAGGAGUUCAUGCUGAGAUUCAUCCGUCUGGUCAUGUUUAUAUUUAUUUUGAAAACUGUUAGACAAAUUGAUAAUUACAAUAAAAUGAAUACACACAUGUUGCACAACAAUGGAGGAGUGUAGUUUGAAGACUAUCAGACAAAUUGAUAGUCACACCAAACAAAUACACACAUCGCAUAAUAUCAUUGUAUGGUUGCUCCAUUGUGGUUAUGGUGGUUUUAAUCGCAGAAUGCUAUUUGCCACAAGCACCAAGACUAUUGAUGGCAUUUCGUUUUGUACCGAUAAUAAGUCAACAGAUUUUUGCAUUAAUCUUCUGUUUCUACUUUUUUUUUUUUUUAAAUGUAUAACACACGCACUCUAGUGAGACUCGAAUCCAUGACCUGAGUUUUAAGAAGACUGUUCCUUAACAUUCAGAUAUCAUUUUGUACCUAGAAUUUGGUCCAUUAUUUUCUCUGUUUAGAGUCUCUCAGGUCUUGUCUGUAAGAUGGUGCAUGGUAGUACUGUUUGCAUGUUGAAGAAACAUCAAUAGGUAGGUUGGAUGAAUAAUUGUAUUGCCCAGUUAAAGCAACUCUUUUUUUGAGUUAGACUGUUGAUAACACAUUUGAAAGCUGGAAUUUUCUACUUGUUUCCUAAGUUUUCAGUCUACUUUCUGAGGUUUAUGAUUAUUUCACAUCCUCUAUUAGGUCUUUUUUUUGCAUUAUAAAGCUGUAUUAGAGUCCUUGCAAUCAAUGUACCUUACAUUGAUUGUAAAGUAGCAAAAUCCUUACUACUUUUGGACUCCCCUUGAUAUUGCAGAGUUUGUGUGUCAGUGUCCCCCCUCCCAUUUUUGGGUUGGUUGUUGAAGAGUCUGACCAAAAUCAGUGUUUUGUUCUGUUAGGAUCCCCUCUGGAUGCUGUAUCCGAGACCCAGUCCUUGGUCCAGCCAAUGUAGUUAAUUUCCCAGUUGGGCUAUGAAAACCACUGCACAUAUGAUGCGUUGCUCCAAGAUGGGGAGUGUGAGACUGGUAGAAAUACUAAAAGUGUGCCCCAGCCCUACAAUUGUCAUAGUUUUAGACAUUUUGAAGAAAUGAAUACUGCAGUUUUAAUUAUUUAAUAGUGAUAUGGAAACAAACUACUGUACUGAACCAUGUACUUGACAAUCUUUCUACAUCGAUACACAUUACUGUAACUGAAUUUUAAGAAGUCUUUGGAGAACUCAAGGGAGUGCAUCCUAUAUAUUCUAUAGCAUCUAGGGAUGUCUGCAGAUUGUUGACUUCAUCUUGUCAUAGUGUCUUAUAGUCAAUAAGAUGUGCUAGUAAUUAAAUAAAUUGUUCAUUUUUAAGACCAUUGUUUCGGUUAAAGAAAUUAUUGAAAUGAGUUAGGAGUUUUGGUAAAAUUGACAUGCUGUAGAGCAAGCGUGAAAUAAUCAGUGCCCCAUCAAGAGCAAUAUUGAUGGGUUGAUUACAAAUUGAGAAUAAAUGACGGCGGUCUUCUUGUUUUAAUGGAAAAAUGGAAACAAAAUUAGGAUGAGGGAGAAAAACCUACAAAUAGUCCAUGAGGAGAAGGAGAGAGAGAGAGAGAUGCACUGCAAAUUUUCCAUAUGGAGAUGUAUUUUCAGGUUAUUUACCCCUUAUUUGUGAUUGUUGUUAUUGAAGAAAAACUUAUUGGCAAACAUUAAUUGCAGAAACUUCCAGACAAUUUGAAAUAUUGAUUGGUAAACUAAUUAAUGAAUGUCAUUGCUUGCAAUUUCCCUGUCCCUUAAAAUGAAUAAAAACGUUUCCUUGCAAGUGGAUUCUGAGACUUUCUGUUCAUAUAUGCUUUUCAUCACACUGAGUGUUGGACAGAGCUCAGUCGGUUGAUGUUUAAUUUCAUGCUUUUGAUUCAUGACCUGCCUUAUGCUGCCAAGUUUUACGACUGCUGUGGGGCCGAGGAUCCUGAUGCCUCUGGUUGCACCACCAGCUUCCAUGUCUCUUAUGAUGAUGAUUGAUGUAAUAUUCUCUUCCUAAUCACCUAUAUCUCGAACGUUCAUUAAAUUUGUAGAUAUCCCCAUGUCUCCUCUCUCGACACACAUCAUUCCCUGCUGUUCUCCUGUUAUAUAAUUCCAGUCUUCAUCUCUUAAACUUUCAACUUUCAUCUUUUGUUUUUUUCCCCCUGGAUUGAUCUGACAUGAAUUUCAAAUGAUGAUCUGAGAGGUAUGAACCCUUAGUCACAUAUUACAUUCAUGCUACCGAGUCGUUUUUGGAGCCAAAAAUAGGUCAUGUGCCUGCAAUUGGCCCAGUCCAUAAUUGUUUGCAUGAGUUUGAUAUGCGAAAAUGUGAAAGGUAGAAUGCAGCUGGCAAAGGAAAAAUCAAAGGGCAUGCUUCCCACAUCAAGAUGGUGGUAGUGGUACAUCUUUGUGUUUCCUUGACCUUAUCCAAUAUUCAUCAUUUUUGGUUACUCUGCAAUUUUUCGCUGUACAUUUUGAUCCCACACCAUGUGCUUGACAGUUGUUUCGAUUUUAUCUCUUUUUUUUUUUUUUUUCCUUUCUAUCUUUCAGAUCAGCAUUUUUGUCUUGAUUCUUGAAUAGUUGAAUAUGUAUGUGUGGGUGGGUAUAUAUAGUACUUAGAUUUUGUUUAAUUUUCUAUUGCUAACUUGAUUCUUUGUGGCAUUAAUUUAAUAUGAUUUACAUCUUUUUGGUUGUAGUGUUGAUGAGUUGCCUUUAUAUGAUGACCCAAUUUUAUUCUUUAUUUUUUUUGUCUUCAUUGGUUUAACCAUAGAAAAAUAAAAUAGUAAUGAGAUUGGUCAUUUUGGCUAAACAAUUAAUGAACUAAUGGAGUAUAUCUCACUCCCCUAGUAUAUCAUAAAUUUCUAAAAUUUGCCUUCAAUCAAUUAAACAUAAAUUUCAAAAUUCUUUUUUAACAAAAAAAAAAGCCAAUACGGAUCCUUUAAAGUUUAAAACAUCCAAAAAGGCGCAAAAAAAAAAAAAAAGAGUCAUCUAUUAGCAUACGGUAAAAGCAUAAUUCGACUAAAGUUGGGGCAUGGCAUGUGGUAGACAUGUGGAUUGAUUGCAUAUGUUAUUGAGUCGUUAUAUCAUCGGCUUCACAUUAUCAAUAAGCUUCCCCCCCUCCAAAAAAAAUCUUCUAAGAAUUAUGUGUAUGUUUUUUAGCAUAAUUGUUGGCUGAUCAGAAACUCUGUCAAGUAAGUAAUUUAGAUUAAACCAGCAAUUAACAUGAGAAGUUAGGCUGGCUGGCGGGACAAAUGGGACAAACUCAAAUCUGGUUCAAUCAAUUAGCAAGCAGCAGCCAAAUUCCAAGAUUCUCAACAAUUUUGCCAUUAAACUCAAAUCUGGUUCAAAACUUAUAUUUGGAAAAACUCAUGUUGAACAGAUACUUAUAUUUGGAAUACUAGUUUUGUUAAAACACCAAAUGGACAACAAUAAAGACAAAGAAUAGGGAGAUUUAAUAAGAAUUAAUCUAACUACUCUCUCUAAGAAGAAAAAAAAAAGAAAAAGAAAACAUCUAACUACACUCAUUUUCUAAAAAUAUAAAUAUAUAUAAUUACACUAGAACCCGUAUAAAUUUUUAUUUUGUCAAGCAAUUACGUGAUUAAUAUUAAUUUUAUGACCUCAACUCAAUGGUCAUAUCAAGAGCAUAUUUAAUUAUUUUAUUUUUAAUCAACAAUUGAGAUGUUACGCCCUGGAGUUAAAACCGGCUGUUAUCAUUUUGUUUUCUGAUUUAAUUUCCAUUUUAAAAAUAAUUUUAGACCCCGUGAGCAAUGCAACGAAUGAUUCGCGAGUUUGGAGGAGUCCAUGCAUAUGGGGCCCACUGGUUGUUUGAUGAUUGAUUAUGUCACACGAUUCCUGCCACAUACGAUUAUUAUCCACCCUUUAUCUCCUUUUUUUUUUCCUUUAAUAAAUAAUCCUCUUUACUCAUUUCACUUCCAAUUUCAUGUUCAUGCCCUUACACUAUUGAUUUAUCUAUUUUUUAUUUUACACAUUUUUUUUUUACUCUUCCUCAUGUUAUUGUCCCUUUCUUUUUCUUUUCUUUUUCCUUAGCAGUAAUGUUCCAAAUUUAAUUGAGAAACAAAGUUAUAAAUGAUAGAACUUAUUAGUUCGAUAAUUUAUAAACUCGUAAUAGAUGGUACUCAUUUUUAUUCCUAGAUGAAUGCAACACGACCGCGUACAGAAUACGUCGAGGUUUGGAAAAAACGUGGUCCUAAGACAUUUUUAGUAAGAUUAGGGGUUUAACUGAUAUUUAAUUCCUUUAAAACGUGAAGUUUACAUUUUGCACCCUUUGAAUUUACAGUUUCUUAUGUUUGGCAUCUCUCUAAUAUGGUCCACAUUAUACCAAAAUUAUAUUUCCACCACUAAAUGUGACAGUAUUGAAAAACUAUUUGAAGUCGGAAAGUUAAGUGAAUUUCGAUUUAUUUUUUAGGAUAGUUUUUAAGUAUUAUAUAGAUGAAAAUUAACUAUCUACCUAACUAAUCAAGCGAGCAAUUUAAACUUUAAAGCUCUUUAAUAUCAAUGGGUUUUCCUCAUCUAAUUGAAAAGAUGUUGAAAUAAAUGAUUCUAUUAUAUGCGCCAUAAAAAUGAUACUCUCUUUAUGAAAAAAAAAUGGUAAGAAAACAAAAGAAGAAGAAUAUUCAAGCACACUAUCGUUUCUCUAGGGUGUAUGUAAUAGAAUGAUUAGUAUAGAAAGAGAGAAGUUAAUUGUCCAACUUGCCGUGAGAAUUUGGCUAUCAAUUCAAAUAAAUAGUAAUUAAAUUUGUCAGUUUAGUUAAUUACUUCUACUUGUAAAUGUCCCAUCUCAAAAAGAUAUAUUUUAUCGGUUAAUACAUAUUGUCAAUGCAACCGUCCCUUAAACUAGAAACGUUGAGAGUGAUUACUUCAUUGCUACUUUGAAUGUUUCUUACUAUUAGCCUUAAUAGUUAGUGAUACAUAUGUUGCUUUCAAAUUUUACGUAUCAAAUUGAUAAGAUUAAGACCUUUAGUUUUUUAAUUUUAAAUACUUGAGAGCAAAUACAUUUUCUUUUGAAAUGGGAAAUUUUUUUUCUAAAUAUGUUGCGAGUCAAUUCGUUCUGUUAAACUCAAAUAUUUAAGGCAGCUUUCAGGCAAUAACAUAAGUAUCUAAAUAUAAUUUGUUCGAUUAUUUUAUUAUAAUUAAAAAUAUGUUAUCACCUAAACUACCUAAUAUCAACAUUAUAGAGUUUUGUUGGCCUAAGCUCAAGCAACAUAUCGAAUUUAGUAAUGAAUGUACAAGAGUAGAUUAUUAAUUUUGACAAUGAGAUAAAUCCAUAUGGUAGCUAGAUAUAACUAUUCCAAAAGAUAAGAGAGUGAGCUGCCAAAUCCCAUUAAGCAUGCAUGAACAAGUUACAUAUAAAUCAUUAUUACUAUUAAGAUUUUUGUUCAAUCUCUACUUAGGGUAAGUCCCACCUAACACCAAAUGAUGGCUAUUGAAAUCGCUACAACUGGAAGAAAUAUGCUAGAAGGUUUGUUGGUUGCUAGUCAGCUUCUCACCUUACCCAAAAAAAUAUUUGUUACACUACUAAUUCUUUUUCCAUGUCCAAUUAGAAAUAAAAAUUGCUUGUUACGCCAGGUAAAGCAAAUGGGAUUCACCCACAUCAUCUGCCGUAUAAGUUAUGGCUUUUGUUAAUGUCGACUUUAUUAAUAAAUAAUUAAAUUUGCACUGAGGUCGAAUUUUGGGGCUCCAAAGCUGAUCGUACACUUAAAUCUCGUCUAUUAAGAGUAGGGCUUUGUUUUCUUAUAUCUAUGGAAUAAUGUCGAAAAUCUUUUUUUUUUAUUUUUAUUUUUACCUUUUAAUCAUGUACUGUUAGAUCACCGGCGGCAAUGAUGACUUUAAAGUGGAUCACUACUUCAAAAAUUCUCCCUAAUAUUUCUGUUUCACUUUUAUCCAUCAAUUUAAUUCGUGAAAAAAUUAUUAACAUUUUUGUAAAAUCAUGUAAUCCUGACAAUAAGUUUAAGAAUUUGUCCAUGUCACAGUUAUUUUUGAUGUUCUAAGCGAUGCGGAUUAAUAUAGUUUGGGGUGUAACCCAGGAUGAUUAAAUUAAAGGAGUAAUUAAUCUAACAUUUAAGCUAAUUAAUAGAAUAAUUAAUGAUAUGUUUCAACUGAAAAAACGAAAGCAAGUAGAACGCAGGGUGUGUGCUUUUUUCAUUCUUUUUAUUUUUUUUUGGUGUAUUUGAAAAAAUGAGAAACUUUAGUUUAAUCAAUUAAUUCUUUUUGAUACUUCAUCGUAAAAGACUAUAUAGUAUGAAGGAAAUGUCCAAGUUUCGGUUUCAUUGUAAAUUUGAUGGGUUUGUAUGUGAUAUUACUAUCAUCACGAUGCAAGUAAUAAUUUAUAUUCAGUGUUAAAUUUUUUUUUUUUUUAUACAUAUAAAUUUCUCAAAGGGAGUUAAGAUAAGACAAAUCGAAGGUAAAAUAUUCUAGAAAAUCGUAUGCUAAUAUCUUAAAUUUGUACUUAAUAAAAUGAACUUGUUUAAUAUAUUACAACCGUCACAAAUUUUUAUGACAUAUUCUCUGCUGUAAACAUAAAAUGAAAUUGCCAUAACAUAAUUAAAAAAGAAAAGGAAAUUUAUAAGAAGUGUGUAACUUGUAAGAUAACACUUUCUUUGUAAAACAUGUAACACUGUAUUAGAUAAGAAGAAAAGGGUGAUUCAAAUAGAGAAAGAGGGCACAUGUUUACAUGGAAACAGCCAUGUGUCUUCCCCCUUUUCCUUCCUCAAAAGCAGGGUGGUGCCCUAAGAAGGUAGAAAUGCACACCUCUCAGUCUCUAAUUGUCUCUGAAAAAGUUAUGCCAAUUUGCCUUUGUCAGUGUAUAACUAUAAAUAAAGAACUACUCAGGGGCAUUCUUGUACUUUCACCGCCUCAUUGCUCCCUGCACUCCACCUUAAAAAUAACACUCUGAUUAAAAGAAUUUUAAAAAAAAAUAUCUAUGCUCAGAGAGAGAAAGAGAGAGAAAGAGAGAGAGUGACUAUAGUGUGUUGUACAUACAAUAACUGCAACCUGUGUCGUGUUGUGUCUGUGGUCAGCCACUUCAAAGACAGAAAACACCAACCAAAAUAAUUUGGUUUUUUCUUUUUUCCUUUCUCUAUGCUGUAAAUUUCUUUCUUUGUUUUUUUGUUUUUGGGCUCACUCACCUCACUUAACUGCUUCAGAGUCUUCAACUUUAUUGUUGUGUUUGCUUUUGGUAUUGCACAAAACAAAAUUUUUGAAUCUUUUAUCAUAAUCCCAUGAUCUGAAAAUACAAAAACUGAAACUUGGAACUCCCAAUCCCGCAUCCACAUUUACAUUAAAUCCUUAUAUUCUCUUACAAAAAUGUCAGCAUUUUAGCAGUAGCCAUACACAGCCACUCUCACAUUUUACACAUUUUUAAAGUUCUCUCUUUCCUCUUUAUCUGCUUACCUAUCUCAUCACCUCAGUCAUGGCAACCAAAUCCAAGUAAGUAUACUCACUGUUUCUGUCUGGAUCUGUUUCUUUUUUUUUUCUUUUUGAAUUUCUUUAUCUGGGUUGUGUUCAUUUUUGGUCUAUUUUUGUUCAAAAAGAAAAAAAAAUUGUUCUUAAUUUGUUUAUGAUCUGUAGGUUAGGAUUUUUUUUUUCUGUUAAAGUUACAAUUUUGCUUCAGUUUUAUUUGUAAACUCUGGAACAAAUUUUGAUUUUGAUUUUUUUUUGUCUAUAUGAGUUUCCCUUAAUUUGCUUAACUUUUUAUCCUAAUUUUAAUUUUUGUGUUCUUUUUGUGAUUCCCUUAAUGGGUUGGAUCUGUUCUUGAAAAAGAUGUGUUGUUCUUUCAAAUUAUGACACUAGAAUUGUAUGCAAAGUUUCUAUUUUUGGCAUAUACUGCUUGGAUUCUGUUUUGAGUUUUGGCAAGAGUUAUAUUUACAUAUAUGGCAUUACAAAUUCUAUGUAAUGGGUUCUGAUUUGGUAGAUAAAUGACAAAAUUUUGAACUUGAUCAGAUCUGCUUUAUCUGAAACUCCUAGCAAAGCUUCCCCAGCUACUCCAAGAGUGAGUAAAGUUGGAAAGGGAGUGACUAAGCCAGAAACUGAUUCACAUUCUCCCCUGCAAAAUUCUCGGCUUUCUAUUGAUAGAUCCCCGCGGUCUAUUAACUCGAAGCCCUCAAUUGAACGUCGAUCCCCCAAGGUUGCUUCAACCCCACCUGCUAAGGUUGCUAUUACCCCAUCAGCUAAGGCCGCUACACCACCAGUGAAGGCUGCUACCCCACCUGAAGUAAGUUUUAGGAAUUGAUAAUAAAGUUUGGUGCCUUUGUUUUUCAAUAUUUGGAGUUUGUUUGGUUUGUUUUGAAAAGUGCCAUUUUGGAAAUUCCCAUAAAGUUUGAAAAUGAAGUUAAAGUCUUUGGGAUUGCCGUGACUAAAUAUGAUCUAUUUGUAUGGAAUACGACCAUUAAGCUGCUUUGGUCACUGGAAAUUGAUAUUCUAGCAUGAAAUGGUUGUCUUUUGAACAAAGCUCUUGUGCUUGUCAGUGUGAGAGUUUUGAUGUCACAUGAAUUGAAAAUGAAAAUCAGAAGGAAAAGAGAGCUCUGAAGUGUAUUUUCUUUAACAUAAUUUGGUUUUGUCGGACAUGAAAGAUUGUCCUUAGGAAUAGAAGCAAACAUGUCUUUAUACUGAAAUUUAUGCAAAUUUUGAUCUGCAUUAUUAUUUGGUUUUGAUUUUCAGAAGUCCCAAUCACGGCUUGUAAAGGGAUCGGAAUUGCAGGCUCAAUUGAAUCUUGUUCAGGAAGAUCUUAAGAAAGCAAAAGAAAAGAUAGAAUUAAUUGAGAAAGAGAAGGUGCAAGCUAUUGAUGAGCUAAAAGAAGCACAGAGAGUCGCUGAGGAGGCAAAUGAGAAACUGCAAGAGGCUUUGAUGGCUCAAAAGCGUGCCGAGGAGAAUUCUGAAAUUGAGAAGUUCCGGGCUGUUGAAAUGGAACAGGCAGGAAUUGAGGCAUCCCAGAAAAAGGAAGAAGAAUGGCAAAAAGAGAUUGAAGCAGUGAGGAACCAACAUGCUUUGGAUGUAGCUUCUCUCUUGUCUACUACGCAGGAGCUUCAGAGGAUUAAGCAAGAACUGGCAAUGACAACUGACGCAAAGAACCAGGCAUUGAGCCAUGCCGAUGAUGCCACUAAGAUUGCUGAGCUUCAUGUUGAAAAGGUGGAGAUUCUCUCAUCUGAGUUGACCCGGUUGAAGGCCUUGCUUGAUUCACAGCGUGAAACAGAGUCCAUUAAGAAUAGGGAGCUGGUUUUGAAGCUUGAGGAGGAGAUAGAUACUUUAAAGGAAGAACUUGAGAAAUCUAGAACUAUCGAAAAAAAAUUAAUGGAAAGAGAAGCUUCUAUUGAACAGCUUAACAUUGAGCUAGAGGCUGCAAAGAUGGCUGAAUCUUAUGCUCGUAAUUUAGUGGAGGAGUGGAAAAUCAGGGUGGAGGAAUUAGAAAUGCAGGCUGAGGAAGCACAUAAGUUGAAGAGAUCUGCUUCAGAGUCCUUGGAUGCAGUCAUGAGACAGCUGGAGGGUAACAAUGAUAAAUUGCAUGAUGCAGAAUCUGAAAUUGCUGCUCUUAAAGAGAAAGUGGGAUUGUUGGAAAUGACAAUUGGAAGACAGAAAGCGGAUCUUGAUGAAUCAGAGCGUAAGCAUAGUAUGGCUAAGAAUGAAACUUCUGAAAUGGCAAAAACGGUUGAGUCUUUGAAGUUUGAGCUGGAGACUGUGAAGGAGGAAAAAGCUCAGGCUUUGAACAAUGAGAAGCUUGCAGCAUCUAGUGUUCAAAACCUAUUGGAAGAGAAACACAAACUCAUAAAUGAAUUGGAAAAUUCCAGGGAAGAAGAGGAGAAGAGCAAGAAGGCAAUGGAAAGCUUAGCUUCUGCCUUACAUGAAGUUUCUGUUGAAGCAAGGGAAGCCAAAGAAAAGCUUUUAUCCAGUCAAACCGAGCAUGAAACUUAUGAGGCGCAGAUAGAAGAUUUAAGGAUAGUCCUGAAAGCAACAAAUGAGAAGUAUGAAAGCAUGCUUGAUGAUACAAAACAUGAGAUUGGUCUUCUUACAAAUACCAUUAAAGAAGCCAAAGAUGAAUCCAAGAUAUCCAAGGCUGAGUGGGAGCAAAAGGAACUUCAUUUGGUGGAUUGUGUAAAGAAAUCUGAAGAAGAAAACUCUUCACUGGAAAAAGAAAUAAAUAGGCUGGUCAACCUGUUAAAAGAAACUGAGGAGGAUGCUUGUGCCACAAAAGAGGAAGAAGCUCAGCUGAGGGAUAGCCUAAAGGAGGUUGAAGCUGAGGUGAUUUAUAUGCAGGAAACUCUUGGGCAAGCAAGGGCUGAGAGCAUGAAACUGAAGGAGAGUUUGUUGGACAAAGAAACCGAGUUGCAAAGUGUCAUUCAAGAAAAUGAGGAGCUCCGAGCUAGAGAAGCGGAUUCUGUUAAAAAGGUUGAAGAGUUGUCUAGUUUGCUUGAAGAAGCUAUGGCCAAGAAGCAAACUGCGGAAAAUGGUGAGCUUACAGACAGCGAAAAAGACUAUGAUCUCCUUCCCAAGGUUGUUGAAUUCUCUGAAGAGAAUGGACAUGCAAGAGGAGAAGAGAAGCCCAAAAUGGACCUUCCAGUGCAAGAAUGCAAGGAACAGAAUAUGGAAAAUUCCAAAGAAGAGACAAAUGGCAUGACUGAUGAGACUGUUGAACUAGCUGCUGCCAAGAUUGAUAAUGUCAAUGGAAAGCUGAAGGAAGAUGAAAGCAAAGAGAAAGAAGAUGAUUCAGUAGAAGUUGAAUUCAAGAUGUGGGAGAGCUGCAAGAUUGAGAAGGAGCUUUCACCAGACAGAGAGCCAGAACCAGAAUCCUUCGAAGAGGAAACAAACUCAAAGGUGGAGGGCAGUGAAAACUUUGGUCAGAUUAAUGGGCUAUCUUCUUCAGAGAACAUCGACGAUGGUGGAAGCUCACCGUCAAAGCAACAGCAGCUGCAGCAGAAGAAGAAGAAACCUUUCAUCCGAAAGUUUGGAAGCUUACUGAAGAAGAAGCAGGCUACCACCCCCAAGUAGAGGAAGAAAAUCACUUUAUGGCCUGACUUAGCCUGACUAGCAGGCAGGUAUAUUGGAUACUAUCUUGCAACUUAUUGUGUUU
rnacentral:lncRNA from 1 species